rnacentral:lncRNA from 1 species
GAACACAAAACCCAUUAACCCCACAUAGACCCUUAGGAGCACACUUGUCGGCUGAAGAUCUCCAUAAAAUUGACCAGCUGCCGUUCUGACCCAAAUCAUGUGAGUACAGUUUGAAGAUCCCAUCCGGAUCGAUUCUCAGACGAUAGAGGUUUUCAUUGUUAUAACCAUCUGUUAUAUUCUUUAUAUUGGAACCAUUUGUAUUGAGCNNNNNNNNNNNNNNNNNNNNNNNNNNNNNNNNNNNNNNNNNNNNNNNNNNNNNNNNNNNNNNNNNNNNNNNNNNNNNNNNNNNNNNNNNNNNNNNNNNNNAUUGAGCAAGUAGAGAUGACCUUCAUCAUCAAGAUUAAGGGUCACAUUAUCUCCUUUUCCAUCUGUACCUGAUGCAUAAUAAGCAUAUGUUGCCGUGUCUGGAGCUUCCACCGGGUACUGCACAAGGUUCCCAUCAUUUUGCAUCUUCAGGCGAAAUAAUCCAGUUGAGGGGUUAGUUUCUGACAUACUAGAAAGCAGCUCUUUCCCUGCUGAGAGACGUUGACCUGGUAAAAGGGUAUCAGUUGGGAGAUCAAAACUCUGCCAUACAAUGUCCCCAUCAGAAUUAUAGAGCACGAAAUUUCCCGAAUUCAGCAUGGAAGCAGAAUAAGCUGAAGCAGAAUUGGCGAUCUCCUUUUGCUGACCUUGCGUUUGCAACCUGAGCCUGCCUUCACUAGUGAAGUGCAAGGUAGCGGUGCUGGGGACUGGGAGAUCAUCUCGGUUGGCUGUCCACACUACAGUUUUCUGGGGAAUUCCUUUGAGAAAAAUUCCUAGAUAAUAGCCGUCACCCUGAUUGUAGAAUCCAAAGGCAUAUUGGCGGUUGGGUGACAGCCAAUAGGAGUUGGAAGUGGGAGUUAGAGAAGAACCUCGACUUAUAUUAGAACCUCUUUGUUGGGCUGCUGCUGCAACACAAAAUGCAGAGAGAAGAAGAAACAGUAAAGCAGUUGAAGCCAUUAGAGAUCAGCUUUCUCUAUCUUUUCUGUUUCGGCCCUUUCCCUACAACAGUCGAGGUAACAAGUAAAUAAGGGCAGGAUUGCGCGACUAGGAGAAAUGAAGAGCAGAUGAGUCAAAGUCUUUGGUCUGUUCGGAUGGAAAAGUAUGCAAAGAAAAGUCUCUAGUGCCAAACGCAUUAGCGUGGUGUGGCUCCCUGGUAAGUCCUUUCCUCAUUUUCUUUGCCUUGGGAGUAGAUUAAACUGCAUGUAAUGUGGUUAAUUCAUCUGGGCCAUCAAACUGAAGAACAACGCUUGCAGAUUACACUAGAUUUCACAAAUCUGAAAUGUUGGAUCUUCUUGAUCUUCCCCAGAAAGCUAUCUUCUGAAAUGGUAGCCUAGCCCUAUUUCCCAGAAUGAGUGGGCUGUUGAUUUGGUGAAUAAAAAGAAUGACGUAACAAACUUUGCUAUAUUUUAUUUUGAAUGUAAGCCAAACUUUGACAAGGAAAGGAGUGAGGUCUUUAAUUCUAAUUUGACUUGGCUUACCAACGUUAUUUUUUAAUUUGAUUAAUUAUUUGUAUAGUCAAUAGUAGGUGUGCUUCAUAUUUGGUUUAAAAACUCUAUUGACAGUCAUACUAAUAAUGAUAUAAAAUUAUAUUUCUUUGAAUCUAGUCUAACUCAACCUACAUAAGAUAGUUAUAUUAAUAGUGCGUUUGGUAAUGAUUCUUGAAAGUAUUUCUAACUUCUGUAAGACUUGAAAAUUUUCAUCAUUCAAAUAUUAAAAAUACUAAAAAUAAUUUCUAUAAUCAUUAUCAAACACACUUUAAUAAUAAUAUAAAGUUUAACUUAACUCUUUAGACACUAGGCUAAUUAAGGUGUCAUUUGAAUGCAUUUUUUUGUUUUUUAUUUUUAAAAUAAAAAAUAAUAACUUUAAAAUAGAAUAGAAAAGUUUUCAAACACGUGAUUGAAAAAAUAAUAACUUUUAAAAAAUCAAGAUAUUAAAAAAAGAAAAAAUUUAUUAUCCCAAAUUUAAAUUAUUUUAUAUAAAAUUUAUUGCUUUUUGUGUACAGAUUAUUACUAUUUUUAUUUUUUAAAAAUUAAAAAUUAAAAAUAUAUCCAAACCAACACUUAACUUUAUUCUUAUUAUUUGACCUUUUAUUAAUAUCUAGUGUCAAGUUAGUACAUGAACUUACAACUAUGUUAAGGUCAUUAUUCCAACCCACUAGAUAUGUGACACGUGGAAAUUUCAUUAUUUAAUUCUACUACUUUGAAUAUAGGAUCUUCUAACUACUUUAGUAUAUCUUUAAUAAUUUGUGACAUAUACUUAUACGUCCAUCCCAUUCUUCAACAACUUGUGACGUUAAGGUGUGACCUGGUCAACUCCUAUACACACGCUUUGGAAAGGAUGGAAAACACUCUCAGUUGGAAUGUCUCCAUUCCAAAAGUCUUCACGCGUGAUUGCCGCUCACAUUAAUAAUAAUAAUUUAUGUGACAAGUUUUGUCAAGAAGAAAAUUGCCUUCCUCUCAUGCAUUAUUUUCUCACACGUACAUUAAAAAUUCAAGAAAAUUUAUUGAACAAGUAGACGAGGAGUCAAUAUUAAAUGUGAGUUUGGCUUAGCUCACACGUAUGAUUUUUAUUUAUUUAUUUUUAAAUAUUAGUUAUCGCUUACAGCUAGUGUUGAGCUGUAGAAGAAUGUCUAGUCAUUUUUCAUGCGUUCUCUUUGUCAAAAUAUUUUAUUCUUUUAUUUUUUAUUUUUUAUUAAAUGCUGAGAAUCCGUAUUGAUUACAAAUAAUAAUACAAGUUUCUUUUUUCUCCUCAAAUUAAAUUAGCUACCCAUAAAUUAAUUCAAGUCAAAGAAUUAUUCAAUUUUGCUCUAAUAAGAGUUAAACUGCUUCUUUUUUAUUGCGAUAAAACCCACUCAUGCAUCAGAUGAGUUCUUUAUGAGUUUUUUUUUUUGUUUUUCACAAUUUAGUAACAAAAAAUCAAUUUGACAUUAUAUUUACAUAUUUUAUCUGAAUUUUGUUAGGUAUUUGAUAGCUAAAAGGAAAAUUGUAUAUUAGAAUUUUCAUAAAAAAAAAAAUUGAGAUAGAUGUCAUUUGGGAUUUUUUUAACUUCUAUAAGUACUUUAAAAAAAAAUCUUAAAAAAAUAUAAUUAUAAAAAUAGAAAAAUUAUGUAAACAUGCACUGUUUACAAAAUAUUGAUGAAUUCAAUACCAAAAAAGUAACUUUGAUAGGGACUGCAUUUUGGGGAAAAUAAUUCCCGGCAUGCACCGAAAUAGUGUGUUCUCCAUAUUACUUGAAAAUGCCCUUGAAUUUGUACAUGAUUUGCUAGCCAUACCAGCUAACAAGGCAAAUAGACAAUAAGGAAUGCCAUGUAAGGAGGUGCCAUAUUAGCCACACCACCUCAUGGUCCAGCUAUGUAUGUGACAAUCUCAUUUAACUUUAAAUUAAAAAGAAUACAAGGAAGAUGACUUAACCUAUCUUAUAAACAUAAUAAAACCUAAAUUAAAUAUAAAUUUAAAUGAAAACCAAAAUGAGUAAGUAAUACAGUAACAUUUGUUCUCUGGUAGAGGCCCAACCCCUAUGAAAGAGACUUCUUUGGUAGAUCCCUAAUCCUCACGUGUUCGAGAUAGGUUAUGCAAUGAAAGAGGUAACUGAGAAACCUUAAGCUAUUUGAUUUCGAUUAUUCAAUUCAAUGGUCAAUGAUAUAAUAAAUAGUAGAAGUAGACUUUUGAAAGUUGAAUGUAUGUAAGGCUUUUCCAAAUCCCUAUUUAAUAUAUGAGAAUUUAAUUCAUACAUCCUCAAUCUCAUAUGAUCAUUAGCAAGUUCAUCAAGGUAAAGAAUCAUUCCAUUUUGUUUUGAACCAUGAACAUGGAUUCAUUUGUCACAAAAUCGAAAUUCGUUUGAAAAUCAAUGGAAAGAUGCAUACCGAUUGAAAUUGGUUGCAUGUCUUUCAAAAAGGAUGAUUGUUUUAACCCUAAUGACCUAAACUGAAUUUUCAAGAAAAGUUGGAGGGUUGAUCUAUUUAGGAAAAUGUUUGAAAAAGAAAAAAAAAAUUAAAGACACUUAAAAACAUAAAAUACCAAAUACAAACAACCUUAGGAAACUGUAGGGUAUGAAGAUUAUUAUGUGGUUAUAAGUGAACAAUCUAAACAUCCCAAACUAAAAUAAGCAACUCAAAAAUAAGAUCAAAGACAAUAAAAAAUAGAUAGAGAAUUUCUUGGCCACUUAUUAUGUAUUGCUAAAGGGCCUCAAUCAAGUAAAAAUAACUCUAAAGAAAGCAAUCUUAACCCCAAUUCUAAUAGGUAUAUAUCAAUAUGAGAUCAAUCAACCAUUCAUCAAUCUAUUCAUUAACAUGUCAUUUACAAUAUCUAAUUAAUAACAAUCAAAUUGACCUUCAUUAUCCACCCCAACCAAAGAGAAUUCCUAUACCUAAGUAAGACGGGAGGAAAAGAAAUAAAUGGAGAGAUGAUCAGAAUCAAGAUAUGCAAGAAACUAAAAAGAGCAUACCUCUCCUCCAAAAAAUUGAAAGCUUGCUCCUUUAUUGCCUUCUUAACCUCUAAGACUUCAACUUUUCUUCUCAAGAUGCCUCCUUUCUAUGUAUAGAUGAAUUAAACAUAGUUGACAAUUCUAUUCCAUUUAUGCACCAAGUCUGAUGCAUCUUAUCUCCAAGGAUUUUACUAGUUGCAAUCAAUCAACAUCAGAGUUGAUUUUCUUUUUUUAGUUCAAGUAUGUGUGCAUUUGAAAUAAUUAGAGUUUAAGAAAUGACUACAAUAUAUUAGCUAGGUGACCACGCAUGAGAAUACUGCCAUCCUUAUCAUCUUAAUUCUCCAUCUCUUAAAGUUUUCAAAAGUGGUCUUAAAAGAUUUUAUCAAUGAAAAAUAUAGUAUACGAUCCAAGGGUUGAAGAAUAUGCUAAAAGCAUGAAGUAUUACAUCAAAGGUGUGAAGGAUUGUGUAAGUUUUAAUUGGUAUAAAACCCUAGAGAGUAGACGUAACGUAAUUCUAUGUACAAUCUCCUCCAUCGUUAAAAGAUCUUUACAACUAAUCUUCGAUCGGGUCAUGUCCUUAGAUUGGGUCGUGGGACAUGAUACAAUCCUAUCUGUUUUGUUCGGGUUGUGAAGGGGGUGGUCAUUGAUACUCGAGUCGUAGCAAUAUUAGAGUCAUUAGCAUUACAGAUUAUCCUGAGUGGGGAUCUUUCUCUCAUCAACCUGCCUCCACAUCAGAAAAACAACCUUUUUCCGCAAGGACAAGGGCCUCUGUUGCAUACAAGUCGGUUAGUUUAGCCUUGUAUUAGUCUUACUGCAUGGGUAAGCAAAGUGUGUCCUUUCCACAACCCACUUUGUAUGUAUUACACAUUAUAUCAUUUUACUUCUGACUUAUAGGUUACGGUGUAUGUUGAUCUUGUAUAGAGGAUAAGAUCAUCAUUACAUGAGCAACUCCUUCACGAAUGAUGUUAAAAAUUGGAUACAAUGGAGAAAAGAAACACUCUCAAACACUCUCUUGAUACAAUAAAACUCUCAAAGUUACAAAAUAAGAACAAGAAGAAGAAGAACACAAGAAAGGCUCAAACAAGUUCCUGGAACUUUGUCCAAAGACUCUAUUUCCUCCCACCACUAGAAAUCUUUUGGGAACUAAUGGAAAUAGUCUUGGGAUUGAUCAAGCCUUUUCACUUUUCUGCCUAAGAUUUCAAAAAGAAGAAAAGUCAAAUAUAGCACUCUUAGGGUUGAAAAAUGGUUACAAGGAUGAGAAAAAACUCAUUGUCUUCCUCAAUCUCUUCAUCUUUGUAACAUUCAAAAAUUAAAUCAUAUGUUUAAUUCACACAUUAAACAUGAUUUAAUCUCAAAUGUGUAACUCUCUUACACUUAACCUCUUAAGUUUUAUAAAGUUACAAAGAUGAGAAGACUCAUUGUCUUCUUUAACCUUUCAAGUUUUGUAACAUUUCAAAACUUAAUCAUGUGUUUAUUUCACACAUUAAAAAGUGUAACCCUUCUUACACUUUAUUUUCAAAAGUUAUUUUUUAAAAGUGUAACUCUUCUUACACUUUAUUUUUAACCAACAAUAUAUAUAUAUAACAAUCCCCCACUUGGUUAAAAAUAAACAUCAACCCUUAUAACCUUAACAAUGAAAAUGCAUAAAAUAAAAUAUCUUUCGAUUUGAAUUUUACCUUAGUGUAAUUGUCACAAAGCUCCGUUGAAAUCCCAGGUUGCUUGUAGCAUUGAACCAGUUAUUCCUUGUAACGAAACCGGUAACAACACACACACUUCCACUAACCACAUGAGUGCCCAUUAUUUUCUUGCUUAGCACUUUUAUGGCCAUGUGCUCAAUCCAUUCAUGAACUUUCUUGAAAGAAACUCCAACUCUCAUGAGAGGCGGCACCACCCCUAAGUUCACAUAGGUGAAAUUCUUCCAGCAUCCUUGUUACCUUUAAGAUGCUUGUCACACAUAGACUGAAUUUCAUUAAAAGCUUUAAGCUUAACCCUCCAACGGUAACAACCAGCAUUAAUCAUCACAGAUGGAACUCACAUGUUCUAAUGCUGCCACAACCCACUUAUCAAUGACUUGUUUUUACCCAUUGAACUUACGACUAGUCAUUUCUUAGUAUUAAGUUGGGUUACCAUCAUUGGUGAGUUUUAUUUAAGGAGUUUUAGUCCCAUCUCUCUAGAUGUUAUCCUUACUAAAUCUCUUGUAAGAGGUUUAGUAAAAGGAUCCGCCAAGUUUCCACUUGACCUCACAAAUGAGAUUGAGAUGAUUCCAUUUUGAAUCAAUUGUCUUACAUACUCAUGUCUAAUGCUUAUAUGUCUAGACUUCCCAUUGUACACUCCACUAUACGCACAAGCUAGAGUGGCUUGACUGUCACAAUGUAUUGACACUGUUGACACAUUAUUUGCAGUAAAAGGGAUGUCCAUCAUGAGAUCCCUAAGCCACUUAGCUUCUUUUCCAGUUGCAGCUAGAGCUAUAAACUCUACCUCCAUGGUUGAGUGUGAUAUACAAGUCUGUUUCUUGGAUCCCCAAGAGAUAGCCCCACCACCAAGUGUAAACACCCAACCUGUGGUAGAUAAAUUAUCUCCCACACUCGAUAUCCAGCUUGCAUCUAAAUACCCUUCAAUUAUAGCAGGAAACUUUGAAUAUUGGAGGCUUAGUUCUUUGGUAUUCUUUAGGUAACCAAGAACUCUACCAAUAGCUUUCCAAUGUUCCACACUUGGAUUGCUAAUAAACCUACUUAGUUUACUAAUUGCAAAUGAAAUGUCAGCCCUAGUACACUGAGCAGCAUACAUAAGACUUCCAAUUGCACUUGCAUACUCAAGUUGAGCCACUGAUCUACCAUCAUUCUUUUCAAGUUUUAUACUUGAAUCAAAUGGAGUAUUAGCAUCUUUAAUCUUGAGAUGACUAAAUUUGCUAACUACUUUCUCAAUAUAGUGGGUUUGGUUCAAAGCAUAACCCCCACUAUUUCUUUUCACUUUGAUACCCAAUAUAGUAUCAACUUCUUCAAGAUCUUUCAUCUUGAAGGUUGAGGAUAGAAACCUUUUCAUUUCUAUUAUUCCUUUCAUGUCAUCACUCAAGAUUAACAUGUCAUCCACAUAUAGACACACUAUGACCAUAUAGUUAUCACAAGUCUUAGAAUAUAAGCACUUGUCCACAUUGUUGUGUCUAAAUCCAUCCGAAAGAAUAGCAUGAUCAAAUUUUUUUGUGCCAUUGUUUGGGAGCUUGUUUUAAACCAUAUAAUGAUUUGACAAGCUUACACACUUUGUUUUCAUUCCCCAGUAGAACAAAACCUUCCGGUUGUUCCAUGUAGACCUCCUCAUUGAGAUCCCCAUUCAAGAAUUCCGUUUUGACAUCCAUUUGAUGAACAAAUAUAUUAUGAAUUGAUGCCAAAGCAAACAAUAUCCUAAUCGAUGUUGUUCUAGCCACCGGCGCAUAGGUAUCAAAAUAAUCAAUACCUUCUUUUUGUUUAAACCCCUUAGCUACUAAUCUAGCCUUAAAGGUUUGAAUCAUGCCAUCGGUGUGAUAUUUCCUUCGAAAUACCCACUUGCACCCUAUUGGUUUAGAUCCUGGUGGAAGGUCUACCAAUUCCCAUGUUUGGUUGGACAUAAUUGAAUCCAUUUCAUCAUUGAUAGCCUUUUUCCAAAAAGCAACAUCUCUAGAAGCCAUAGUUUCUUUGUAUGUUUUGGGAUCCUCCUCUAUUUGAAGUACUAUAGGAAUUUUUCUUAUAAUAUCUUCUCUAUUUCCUUCUACUAAGUAAGAGGAAAUUCUUUGAGAGUCAAUCUCAUCCGAUCCCAACACUUUCUCUUUUCUAGCUCUUUGGCUUUUCCGAGGCACAAUGGGUUGCUCAACAACCUUUGAAGGUGUCUCCUCUAGAGACUCUCCAACACUAGUAGGUACUUGAGAAUUGCUAUCACUCAACAAAUUCUCAAAGAACUCUACCUCUCUUGAUUCAAUUAUCACAUUAGACUCCAAGUCUAAUAGCCUAUAAGCUUUGCUAUUUGAGGCAUAGCCUACAAAUGCACACUUAAUGGCUCUUGGACCCAAUUUUGUUUUAUUUGGAUCCGUUUUCUUGCAAUAAGCAAGACACCCCCACACUUUGAAGUAACCUAUAUUAGGCUUCCUUCCUUUCCAUAACUCAUAUGGAGAUAUCUCAUUUUUCUUCAUAGGAAUUCUAUUCAAAAUAUGGCAAGCAGUCAACAAAGCUUCACCCCACAAAUUGAAAUUCAAUUUAGCAUGCAAUAACAUAGCAUUCACCAUUUCCAAGAAUGUUCUAUUCUUUCUCUCCGCUAUGCCAUUGUGUUGAGGUGUAUAGGGUGCAGUGCACUCAUGUAUUAUGCCAUAUUCUUCACAAAAAGAAUUGAAUUCACUAGAGAAAUAUUCACCACCUCUAUCACUUCUAAGCACCUUAAUAUUUUUUCCUAGUUGAUUUUCAACUUCGGCUUUGUAAACUUUAAAGGCAUUGAAAGUUUCACUUUUGUUUUUCAACAAAAACACAUAGUGUGGACCCGCAUUUUUCACGUGCGUCCCCACUCGAUCGACGAGACUUGCUUUUUAUUUGUGAAAAAUUAAUUUUUGGAAAAAAAGUUGGAGUCGCCACUUAUUUUAUUUUUAUUUUUGAAGUGAAAAUAAAACAAGAAAUAAAACCCUAAAAAAAAUGACUCCAUAAUUUUUGGAAAAGCGUGUCUUUGAAAAACCCGAGUCUAAGUCCGGGGAUCAGGUUACCUAUUGGGAAGGUACCUUUGAAAGGUAGCACCCCUCUAAGCCCUAUAAAGGUCUCUACUGACAAAGUUAAGGGAAGUGUGGCCAUUAAUCAGUUAAUUAUGGAUACCUAGAUAGACUAAGGUGAUUUCAAAAAAUAACAUGGCAAAUAGGAUCAAAUUACAAUAAAGGAGAGUUAGGAUGCGUACCCAAACCGCUUCUCAAGCGCUAUCAUAACACAUCAAUGGUUAAUUUAGACAAUAUAUGAUCCAACAUGUAUUUUAUUAGAAAUAAUCCAACAAUGAAACAUGUAUAUCAGAACACUCAAGCAUUAUUAGACAUAGGCAUUAUUUCACAAUGACAAGCAUAUUCACAUAAUUCAGAAAGUAGGUGAUAGAGGACAUACCUGGAUAACAUAGAUAAUUUGUAGCGUGCUUCCACAAGUUGUAAGGAGUUAGAUAACAAAUAAUAAAAUAUAGAAAUCCUAGCAUGCUCAUUAUCUAAUUAGCAUAGCAAAAGUGAUCAAAGUAUACAGAAUCGUCAAUUAUCACAUACAUCUUGUAUAUAAUUCCUAAAAAAAAUAGAUAGACAUGAUUCCAACAAGUGUCAAAUAUGGCAACAAAAAUAAAUUUUGAAAAGAUUUUCUUAUGUAGGGGUUUCACCAAUUCCCCAAAUUAAUAUACACGAAUUUAGCCUAGAAUUAUCCCAUUUAUUUGGGACCACAAGCUUUGAUUCGUGUUUUUUGUUCAAAACCAAAAUUUUUAUUGAAAACCGAGAAGGAUGCAAACCGAACAAGAUAUGGUUGCAUAUUAUUUUUAAAUAAAUAAAUAAAGAGAUUUUGAUCCUGAGGACUCUAAUGAGUUUUUGAAAUAGAUUUUUAAAAUGAUUUUUUGAGAAAAGUAUUUUAUUUUAAAAUAAAAGGAAUUAAUUUGGGAAAAAAAUAAAAUAUAAGAAAUAAAAUACCAAACAAAACAAAAAUGAAACCUCAAAGUAGAAUUUUUUUAGUAAUUAACAAAAAUGAUAAUGGUGAUGGUAGAGGCCAAUCUUCAUGAUUUUCCAAUGGCCUCAGAAAGAAAAUCAAAUUAAAUGAAGGAUCACUAACAGGCAAGACAUUCUAAAUUAGACAAACUAACAAAGUAUCAAUUCAUGAACUAACCGCUAGGAUUUUGAAAGCAUAUAAGCUAAGAUAAGGGUGAUCAAGAACUAACAUUAAUGAUUUUGAAAUAAAAACUAAAAAGGGAUCAAUUCGGGUAAGGAACUAAAAUUAUAGAAGUACCUAAACUAAUUAUGACGAGUUUGACUAAAUUAAAUUAAAAACAUGAACUUUCAAACAUAGAAUUAAUUUUACUAAUGAACCAAAGCAAACUAAAAAUAUGUACUUUCAAGCAUAGAAUUAAUUUUAUUGAUGAACCAAAAAUUAUAAAAGUGUCUAAACUAAAUAGAUGAAUUAAAUUAAAUCAAAGUACACUAAAAACAUGAACUUUUAAAUAAAGAAUCAAUUUUAUCAAUAAAUAAAUAAAACUAUAAAAACACAUAAACUAAUUAAAAGGAACCAAAUUAAAUCAAAGAAUACUAAAAAUAUGAACUUCCAAACAUGAAAUCAAUUUUAUUAAUAAACUAAUACUAUAAAAACACCUAAAAUAAUGAAUAUAAAUUAUUAAAUCAAAGCAAACUAAAAAAAAAAAAAAAAACUGAAACUUUCAAACACGGGAUCAAUUUUAUUAAUGAACUCAACUAUAAAAAAAUAUCUAAACUAACUAUAAUGAAUCAAAUUAAAUUAAAGUAACCUAAAAACGCAAACUUUCAAACAUAAAAAUCAAUUUUAUAAAUGAACUAAAACUAUAAAUGUAUUUGAACUAAAUAGAUGAAUUAAACUAAAUCAAAAGUAAACUAAAGACAUGAACUUUUAAUAUAGGAUCAAUUUUAUUAAUGAACUAAAAUUAUAAAAGUAUCUAAACUAAUUAAAAUGAAUCACAUUAAAUCAAAGAAUACUAAAAAUAUGAACUUCCAAACAUGGGAUCAAUUUUAUUAAGAAACUAAAACCAUAAAAACACCUAAAAUAAUGAAUACAAAUUAUUAAAUCAAAGCAAACUAAAAAAAAAAAAACUGAAACUUUCAAACAUGGGAACAAUUCUAUUAAAUGAACUAAACUAUAAAAAAUAUCUAAACUAACUAUAAUGAAUCAAAUUAAAUUAAAGCAACCUAAAAACGCAAAAUUUCAAACAUAAAAUCAAUUUUAUCAAUGAAUUAGAACUAUAAAUGUAUUUGAACUAAAUAAAUGAAUCAAACUAAAUCAGAGUAAACUAAAAAAAAUGAACUUUCUAACAUGAAAUCAAUUUUAUCAACAAAUAAAUGAAUGAAUAACAAGUAAUUAAAAGAAUAGCUAAUACAUGAAUAACUGAAUGAAUAAAAUUCAAACGUUUUCAAUCUGAAGCAAUCAAUCAAAAUUAAAUAGGGAUCAAAUCAAAAUAAUCGAAAUCGGAAAAACAAUAUGCAAUCUUUCUCAAGGUUUAACCAGACAAUUGAAUUAAAAUUAUGAAUAGAAUAAAUUAAUAAACCAAAUCGAAACCUAAAUUGUACCUAAAAAGAUUAAUUAAUUAAACUAAGAAAUCAAAAUCAAUAACAAAACUAAACUAAGGAGUAAAUUAAGACAAGACUAAUUAAAUUAAACUCACAAACACGUUUUGACUAUCAUAUGGAUUAAAACAAAAUUAGCAUGGACUUAUGAAUUACGAACAAAAAUAAUCAAAACUAUUUCAAAAACUCACCUCUAUUAUAAGAAAAAAUCUGUCUUUGAUGCGUUAAGGUGGCUCCCCUCUUGUGUGGAUCUCUCUGCUCUCCCCGAAAAAAAAAUCUCUUCCUCUUUCUCCUUCUAAAAACCCCGAAAUCCCUCAUUUGCUCCAGAAAAAUAAUAUCUCUCCGUGUGGAUCUCUAAAAAAAAAUCCCUUGAAAUAGAAAAGAACUCUCUUGCCUUUUUAUGUGGCAGCCUCCCUCUUUGGAAUAUUCGCUUUUUCCUUUUGGAGAUGUAGGUAGAUAUGGGAAGUAUGGCUCGCUUGGAGAUUCCCAAGGAUGCGCAUGUCCCGUUUGGUAAGCGUCUACAUCUAGUGGUCGCAUCAUCCGCCGUUGACUGGAUUGAUCAGGCUGGAAAUUGUGGGAUUUUAUCCUGCACCACCACGUACUGGAACAUCCACAUUGCAAUGCACGUUUCGCCGGAGAAAAGCAAAGAACAUUCUGGCAGCUUUCCAAGAUCGACAAAUCAAGAUUUCUCUUCUUUUCCCAUGGCGAACGUGUGGCGGUGGGUCAUGGUAUUUUCCAGCAUAAAUCUCCAUUCAUUUUCAGUGAUGGCUGCCGGAGUUCAACCUUGCUUGGGUGAUGUGACCACGACGUCUUUCCUCACUGGCAGCACCAUGAUCGCUCUCAAAUCUUCGCCAGAAAACAAACUGUCGAUGACGCUGGCUGUUGACAUCCUUUCCGGAGGAGAAACUCCAAUCUUAUUGACAGAAAACAUGCCGUUCACCGGAAAAUCCUCCCUUGACUCCUCAAUGACCUGCACCCGCAGUAUGAAACCUGACUGGUGGCGGAUUUGGUGCAGGAUUAUAUAUUUCCGACUGCUUGAGGUUGGGAACAACCUUAUUUGUUGAUUCUAUUCUCCGAGAAGUGCUAGUACCAAGAGAACUUGGAACUGGUUUGGAGUCCUCUCUUUUAUACUGCUCAAAUCUUCUUAUAUCUCCAAACGAAGAAUCUCGUUCACCAUCUAAGCCAUCCAUUACACUCUGCCUUGUGAUGUGUUCUUGACAAGAAUGGUGACCGUUAUUUUCUUCUAACCCCAACAAUGUCUUGGCUCUGACCGGACUAGUAGUAGAAAUACCGACCAUUUUCUCUGAACCAGUCUAGAAAAGAGGAUUCAAGAAACCACAUCCACUAUCUCUAUCAUGAUCUUGGCUUCCAGCACCGAAAUCAAUAUCACCAAGAAUAGAUAACGCUUUUGCUAUUGAAAAUUGUUUUACAGUAACUGAUUUUCCUAAUCCAGUCCAGAACGUUGGAGGGCUCUUAACACAGGGACCGCCAUUUUUCAGGACCUCUGAACAUUCUCGAAGCAACAGAUCCACCAUGGACGGGAGAUGGGGAGUAGAAUCGUAUGGUUGGAUCGGAGCACUGCUUGUUCCCUCUACGGGUUUGGUUAAGCUUUGUGCAUCUGAAAUCGGUUUCAGGCUUUCCCUACUUUUCAGGAGAGUGCAAUGGGACGCAACCCCCAAUAGCAUUCUCGAGAGUCCCUCCCCUCAAAAGGUGAUCUCUGGUCUUGUCCUCUUCCUGUACCUUCCGUAAAGGCAUCCUGAAAUCCCCAUAUCCAUAUGAGGAAUAUCCAGCUGUCACUUUGUGGUGCGACACGCAUGCUAUUCCUUGCUUCUUCAUGUACAAGUCAUUUAGAAUUUCAAUUCUCUAAUACCUUCCCCUCACGUGGUAGCUUCAUUGACUUCAUCUUUUGCCCUCACACGAGCCACCUAUUCCGGAAUAUGCAAUUCCUCUCCUCAUGCAAAAUAGAGUAGAAUAAUAGUAUAAAAAAAUGAAAAGAAAAUUAAAGAAACUAACGAAAUUAGUAAUAAAAUAGAAUAUGAUUUCAAAGAAAAAGCAAGGGAAUAAGGAGAGAUUAGAUAACAUCAUUUUCUCGUUCAAUAAUAGGGUCACAUGCGUAUUUAAAGUAUAAACAAUUCAAGCAAUUUUUUUUUAUUAAGUAAAUAAAUAAAUAAAUAAAAAUAAAUAAAAUGAAAUAUAUAAAGACAAUUAAAUACAUGAAUAAAUAAAUAAUAAAAAGUAAAAGUAAAAAUGAAUAGACAAAAUAAAUGUAAUUAUCAAAUGCAUGCCAUAAUAAUAAUAUUAUUAUAUAAAAAAUAAAAAAUAAAAAUAAAAAGUUGAGCCUCAAUGAAAUGUCUAAAUGGACCUAUUCUAAAAAAAGGUGUCUAAGUGACCUAGGUGACAUGUGUGUAAGUAAGGAGGUGUCUCGGUGCGAGUCAAGGUGAAUCUAGGUGGGCCUAGGGUGGUGCCUAAUGGACCAAGUGUAUCUAAAAGCUAUCCUAAAAUAGGGCUGCCAAAGGUCGCAAUAAGAGGUCAGAUAAUCCCUCAGCUAAAAUCUCCAGGGUGACUCAAAAAAAGGUAAGUCGUACGAGUAGUAAUGGGCCACCAAGGAGUUACUAUGGGGCACUGAAAACGAAUUUAAAGACAUGUGCUAAAGGGACAAAAUUGAGGGUCUACACAUAGGUAAAUCUAGAACAAUCAUCUAUGAAUGUAAGAAAAUACCUAUUUCCACCUCUUGUUAACAUGCCAUUAAGUUCACAAAGAUCACUAUGUAUUAAAUCAAGCAAAUUAGAUGAUCUCUCAACACUAUGAAAAGGCUUUUUAAUCAUCUUUGAUUUAACACAUAUUUCACACUUUUCAAAUUUCUUGGUAUCACAAGCAAUCAAACCACAUUUCACAAUCCUUUUAAUAGUGCUUAAACCAACAUGUGCAAGCCUAUUAUGCCACAAAAAUAAAGAAUUUGAAUCACACAUAUAAGCGGAAGUAUACGCCAUUUUAUUGAUAUUGUCAUUGGUACAAAGUUUGAUCAUCCCAUCACAAGAAUACCCCUUUCCCACAAAGUUCCCCGAUUUGGAUAAAAUUAGCUUACCAGAUUCAAACACCGCUUUGAUACUCGGUUUGCCAAGUAAAUUCCCACUAACCAAAUUUUUAUUCAUAUCGGGGACAUACAAUACAUUUAUAAGGGUAACCCUUUUGCCGGAGGUAAAAGCAACUUCAAUAGUGCCCUUGCCAAGCACCUUGGAUCUUCCUUCAUUACCCAUUUGAACCUUUUGAUCUCUCUUUGCAUCUUCAAAGGUCUUGAAAAGAGAUUUGUCAUAGGUAACAUGAACUGUGGCACAAGUAUCAUACCACCAUCCUUGCACCUUUCCUUGGACAACGCCACCUAGUGAAGUUGGAACCAUCAAAACGAUCCAACCUCACAAGGUCUUGGUUCAUAAUCUUGAUAGUCUCUCCUUCCAUUGAAUAUAGAGUCUUUGAUUGAUGGGAAAAUGGGAUACAAUGGAGAAAAGAAACACUCUCUUGAUACAAUAAAACUCUCAAAGUUACAAAAUAAGAACAAGAAGAAGAAGAACACAAGAAAGACUCAAACAAGUUCCUGGAACUUUGUCCAAAGACUCUAUUUCCUCCCACCACUAGAAAUCUUUUGGGAACUAAUGGAAAUAGUCUUGGGAUUGAUCAGGCCUUUUCACUCUUCUGCCUAAGAUUUCAAAAAGAAGAAAAGUCAAAUAUAGCACUCUUAGGGUUGAAAAAUGGUUACAAGGAUGAGAAAAAACUCAUUGUCUUCCUCAAUCUCUUCAUCUUUGUAACAUUCAAAAAUUAAAUCAUAUGUUUAAUUCACACAUUAAACAUGAUUUAAUCUCAAAUGUGUAACUCUCUUACACUUAACCUCUUAAGUUUUAUAAAGUUACAAAGAUGAGAAGACUCAUUAUCUUCUUUAACCUUUCAAGUUUUGUAACAUUUCAAAACUUAAUCAUGUGUUUAUUUCACACAUUAAAAAGUGUAACCCUUCUUACACUUUAUUUUCAAAAGUUAUUUUUUAAAAGUGUAACUCUUCUUACACUUUAUUUUUAACCAACAAUAUAUAUAUAUAUAUAUAUAUUUAUAUAAAUAUAACAUCAAUCCACCCCCAACCUCUUGAUAUGUAAGGCCUGUGCAAUGCCACAGGCCAUGCUCUAGUACCACCUCCCCACAUGCUCACUCCGCAAUCACCUACCCACCUCUGGGCAUGUCGGCAAAAUUUGGAACGAGGUAUGUUUUAAAGUAUUCCAAAAAAACAGUUGGAAAAACAAAGAAUACAUCUGACUUUUAUAUUAUACAACAAUGUAUAAUAUUUUUAUAGAAAAUAAAUUAAGAAAUAUAUUUGUCUCAAUGCAUUUUUAUUUUAAAUGUUUUUUAUAUAGAGAACAUGCAUGUUGCCCAAGUGUUCUUAAGACAUGACAUGAGGCUUACGAAGUUGCAUGGAAAAUGUGGCCAAUCGUGAACCUUUUUAAAAAGAUAAGAUAAAAUUAAAUUUUAAAAAAAAAUAAACAAAAUUAUAAUUUAAGAAAGGUUAUAUUAAAAUAAAUCUUUUUCUUCUCCAUAUUCAUGUUCAUUUUUUAAACUUCAACUUAAUUUUCUUCCUCAAGGUUGAUCUCCAAAUCCAAAGUAUAGUUGGUAAGAAAAGAGGCAUGAGGUUUUAGUAAUGCAAGGCCCUUCAACUUGAACUUCUCAAUCUUCAAAAGUAGUAAAAAAAAAAUGAGGACCUGAACACAGUUGGCUCUUGAUAGGGACAUUUAGAAGGAGAAAGACGUUCUUAUAAUGAAACUGAAGGUGAUGGUUGACGGUUGCUUGGUAGAACUACAUCAAGGCCAUAGCUUACAGAGCAGAGGUAGUGAAUGCGUGGAAGAUGGGAAGAGAUGGCCAGCUUCCUUUGUUUUAAACAAAGGCUGCAAAGUAUAACCAUGACAACGAGAAAUAACAAUGAAAGGAUAGAAGAAAAUGCAAGUGUAUUAGAAGAAACAGGCAAAGUUCUUGCAAGUUGCAGCUAUGAAGAUUACACUCAGUGGGGAAAGGAGGUUCCUACCUCUCUCUCUCCCUCACACACACACACACACUCCUUCAAUCACAUAGACAGAUACAUAACUUCAUAUCUAUUCAUUUGCAGAUGGGUUUGAAGUAUGGUUGUCCAGUGGAAGAUACCCUUACAGGGCUAUCAAUACAAUGCAGAGGUUGGAAAUCAAUCUAUUUCACAAUCUAUCCCAAACUCAUCAUUAUUAUUAAGAAUCAUACCCCCUUUCAGAUAUCAAGCUUGUGGGUGCUACCCUUUGCCUAUGUCACCAUCAAGUAUGCAUACAGAUUAGCCGAGUUUAUUUUGUUUGACAGGCGCAAUCCUUUGGGAAGAAGUUUUUUAUGUUUGAAUUCCAAAGUAAAAUUUUACCUUUAAAAAUAACAUCGAACUACUAUUAAAAAUAAUUUUCAAAAACAAAAUUUUGGUAACUAUUUAACAUAUUCUUAUUUCUUUAUAAAAUUGUUCCUGGUUUAAAUUCUUUUGAGGUGGCACUUCUCAAGGUUCAUCUCCACAUCCAAAGUUAUAUAUAUAUAUACAUAGACACAUGAAGUUAAAGAUAUUCUUGAGAAUGAUUGGUAAGAAAACAAAGGAAGAUGCAGGAGAUAUUCAUAAACACGCAAGACAAGUUUAUAAAGACGUAUAAACUUGUCCAUCUUGAAGAGGAGUACAAGUUUCUACUUAUAAUGGGAUAUUCUUUCUAAAUGGAAAAGACUCGUGAAGUAAAAUGGAAAAAAAAUGAAGACCUGAACACAGUUGACUCUUGAUAGGGACACUUAAAACUCUGAAUAAGAUGCUCUUUUAUUGAAACCAAAGGGUUGACAGUUUCCUGGUAGAAUUAUAUCAAGGUCAUAACUUAUAGAGCAGAGGUGGUGGAUAUGUGGAAAAUGGGAAGAGAUGGCCAGCUUCCUCUGUUUGAAACAAAGACUGCAAAGGGUAGAAUCCUCUUUGGAUUGUAUGCAGUUUCAACCUUUGUGGGCAUAUGUUUGAUUUGUGUUUACAGAAAAACUCAUCUACCAGAGGAAGGAAAAGUUGGAAGAUGGGCUUGGAUAGGAUUGUUCUAGUCAGAGCUCGGGUACAUACUCUAUUGGUUUAUCACUGUGACAGUUAGAUUGAAACCUAUCUACCGCUACACCUUCAAAGGCAGGCUUACACAAAGGUCCCUCUCUUUCUCUUGCUAAUCCUGACCUUGAAACAGGUAUGAGAAGGUUUUACCUGGGAUAGACAUAUUUGUGUGCACUGCGAACCCCAUUAUUGAACCACCAACUAUAUAUAUGGUCAUCAACACAGUUCUCUCAGUCAUGGCUUACGACUAUCUGCCCAAGAAGCUGGGCGUCUAUCUAUCCGAUGAUGGUGGGUCAUGUCUAACAUUUUAUGCUCUCCUAGAGGUCUCUCAGUUCUCAAAGAUAUGGCUACCAUUUUGCAAGAAAUUCAAAGUUGAACCCAGAUGCCCAGAAGCUUAUUUUACCUCUACUCCUGAACCGCAUCAUGAUGAUCCUCUAAUGGUUGAGGAAUGGUCAUCCAUCAAGGUAAAGUUUGCUUAUUUUAUAUUCAUGUCUUCCUUCAUAUCUGUCUGUUGCUCUUCCUGCAACAAUGGCAAAAUGGAUGAUUUUCUCUUUUUCUUCAAACAGAGUCCUGAAUUAUCACUCAAAGAGUGAGAUUGUAUGAUUCCAAAUACUUCAGAUACCCAUUUCCUAGUUAAGAUACCCGUAAGCCAAACAAAUUCUUAGGAAUAUAACAAUUUGAACAAAACAAUCAAUUUUGAGUGGUUCAUAUUCAACAACAAUGAUAAAACGGAUGAGCUCAUCUUUUUCUUCAAACGGAGUCCAGCAUCAUUAUUCAAAGAAUGAGAUUGUAUGGUUCCAAAUGUUUAGGUAUAAGAUGCCCAUCUCCUAAUAAAGGUAUCGUAAAAAAAUUAAUUUCUUACGAAUAUGCCAAGCAACAUCACAGUCAAUUUUGAAUGGUUCAUAUCCACCAAUGCUUGCAUUGGCUAGAGCCCAUCUCAAGCUCUGCAUCUGUCCACAGAAACUAUGUCCCACUCUAAUCUGGACAAAUUUUUUCAUCUGGACCAUAACCUCCGAUGCAUUGAAAUGUUCAAAUCAUAAAAAUCAUUGUCCUUUGAAAUAACAAAAGUGGCGUGUACACCAUCUCCUAUCAACUUCAAACUUAAAAGACUAAAAACUUAUCUUUUAUUUAUUUACUUAUUUCCGUCAUAGAAAUUAUAUGAAGAUAUGAGGAACCGGAUAGAAUCUACUAUGAAGGUGGGCCAAAUUUCAGAAGAAAUACGCAAACAACACAAAGGAUUUGGAGAGUGGGACUUGGUUUCCGAUCCACGGAAUCAUCAAACCAUUCUUCAAGUACUUCUUACCGUCUUUUAUGCUUUACAAGCGUAUCCUAUUAUUCUCAUCUGAUAUACAAGCAUAUACUUUUCAUUAUCAGAUAUAGAUCUUAGGAACUCAUAUCAUGAUGGGCAAAGCCUAUCAGAGGAACCAAAUGAUGUAAAAAAGAAAGAGAAUGAAUAAUUCUUCAUUUUCUCCUGAUGUUUGAUCUUAUUAAUCUUCUGCUAAUUUCACAUAUACUAAUUGAUGGGAGAGAUGGCAAAGCUAUGGAUGUUGAAGGCCAACCUUUGCCAACUCUAGUAUACUUGUGUAGACCCCCAUUUGGGGCUCAUUUUCAUGCAGCCCAUUUUUUGCUAGGUGCUAGGAUUGGAGAAGGCCAUGUGUCGCCUUAUGGUUAGCCAUCAGGGAAUCACAAUGGUGGAUUGAAGAAGCAAUAGGGUAGCGACACAUGUCAAGGAAUAUCUGGCAGAGGAGCGUAUUCCGUUAGGGGGAGAAGGCUUAUUUGGUUGCUGAAGGUGAGAUAUUUUAGGCAGGACAUAGAGGGAGGAGGGAGAGGGGGGUGGGGGGGAUGGCAAGGUUUUUCUUGGGGAGCAAGCGGGGGAAAAGAGGGACAAAGGGAGUUUUCGUUGGAGCUUGGGGAUAAAGUUUUCUCUGGUUAUGGCUUGAGAGAGAAACCUACUGAGAGAGCUGAAGCUGAGAAGUAGAGUUUUCUGGGCUGGUUCUUGGAAACAAAAGAGGGCUUAAGGACAAUUAAAUCUAGUUCGAAGAGACACUCCAGGUAUGUUCACUGUGAGUCAUGUAUUUUAUCAUUUUGGAUGCUAUUCUGCUGAAUGUUUUUGGGUCAUUUAUGCACUUUUCCAUUGAUUCACCCUCUGUUUCAUUGAUUUGGUUUGAAAAACCGGUGAGGUUUUGUAUCAUGUCCACUGUGGGGAAUCUCUAAUUGUUGGCUGCACUUUUGCUUUGAAUCGGUUUGUUUCUUUCUUUGUUUCCACUAGUAGGAGCCUAUUGAUUGAUCUUGAGAGGUGGUUCCAUUUGAUUUUUAUUUUGCAUGUUCGUUUUUUUUUUUUAGCUUUCUCUGUUUUUCUUUCUCCAUUACUCGUUUUUUUGCUAGUUCUUCCCAUUUUCUGGUAAUGGUUUCACAAAUGUUUUAUAUGAGUUGAGAUUUUGGGAGGACAAAAAUGGGUAAGCUCUAUGUCAGAGGAAGCUCAAGGGAAAUGCCAAUGAGAAGAACAGUACCCUGCGUUGUCUAUUAUUUGAGCUAAGAUUUGAAUAGAUUGUAAAGUCAACUGACCUUUUUAGUCUUGAAGCUGGGAAUGCAUUGAUGAGAUGCUUGUUGCAGAAAUAGUGGACAUUCUUCUUGAUGUUGCCGUCUACAUAGAAACUUAUUCUUUGAAGGGUGUCACUGUUUUGGGUUCGUUCGCUGAGUAGAUCAUUGUGUUUCUGCAUUUGGGUUUUGUUUCUAGAUUAGAACCUUGGUCUUUGUUACUGUGGAGAAGCUUGUGAGGCUUAUUACCAUGGCUUCUCUAUUUCUACAAAUGCUACUUGUUUCAUUCUCUUUUGCUUUUGUCGGCCACAACUAUGACUAAGCUUUGACCAAGGCCAUUCUCUUCUUUGAAGCUUAGAGAUCUGGGUACCUUCAUAGUAACCAGAGAAUGAAGUGGAGAGUUGAUUCUGGUUUACAUGAUGGAAAGGCUAGGGGGUGGAUAUGGUGAGAAAAUAUUAUGAUGCAGGUGGCAAUGUGAAGUUUGGCCUACCCAUCACAUUCACCAUUACAAUGAUGUCAUAGAGCAUAGUGGAGUAUGAGAGGCAAAUGAGUGCAAAUGGAGAGCUGGGUCAUGCCAUGGAAGUAGUGAAGUGGGGCACUGACUACCUCAUUAAAGCUCAUUCCUACUCUUAUGUCUUCUACGGGUGGGAGAUGGAAAUUCUGAUAAUUUCUAUUGGUAAAAGCCAGAGGACAUGCCCAUAGCUAAUACCUAUCUCAUUAUAUCCUUUCAUCUUUCCAUACCUCCAUCACUCAUUUCUCACUAGCCUCUAUCACCCAUUUCACUAAUCCCAUGUCCAUAUCCUCCUACACCAUUCAUACCCAUUUUCCAAUUCCACCAUCAAACCCAUUUCUUUCCAACCUUCCACUUAUUUCACACCCACUGAACCCCUCAUACCCAUUUCUCGCACCACUCAUGGCUCCAUCUAACACUAAUCCUUACGCGCAUGGCCACCUUCAUUCUUCCACCUUGCCUAUCCAUGAAACCCAUCCAUCAAGCCUACCCAUCUAACCCAUUUCUCACACUACCCAUAACCCUAUCCAAAACCACUUAUAUCCAUCAUCUUUCAUGCCUGCCAUGUCUUGGUUUCAUUACCAAACCUAUCACCCCUACCUUCCAUCUAACCACACCCUUAAACCCACAUUUCUCUCUAAAUUAUUUUCCCAUAUCCAUUCAAACCCAUUUUCUUAAUCUCAUGCACGUAACCUCCUUCAAUGGUCCUUACACAAUCAUCCCAUUGUAUCCAACCCAUGACCCGAUUUCUCUGUCAUAUUUCCUACUCCCUUAUCUAUGUGACAUGGAUGAAAUUUUCCAGCAUUGACAUAAAGGAAUGAUGGCACUUCAAUGGGUAUGUUUGGUGUAACCCAAUCAUCUUUCCUAUUGCCUUCCACAAUCACAUUGAUGUUUCAUCACCAUCGACUUUUGAAAAGUUUAAUGAUGGCUUUUGAAGCUACUUUUACUCUUGAUUUUGAUAGCUUGUCAUCGUCAUUUGUCACACCUUUGGUGUUUAGGCGACAACCUGAUUUUGGGAGUCUUGGGUCCUCUCCUACUCAAACAAAUCCUUUUAAAGGAAGGUUCGGAAAAGGAACCUUUUAAGGCGCACUAUAGUAGAUUUCCAGCGCUUGGGCAGAGGAUUUGAUCAUAUGCAUUGCGAAGAUCCUUUACUAGAAUCCAAUUACACGAGAACGAUUGGGCAUGAUGUUGAGCCAUUGACUGAGGGGUGCCAAUAGAUACGUGCAAUCUUAGAAUACAAGAUGUGGUUUUCCACCUUGUGGCUCUUCAAGACACAAUGCACCAGGCUGUAGGAAUGGUCCCGCCAAUAAUGAAAUAAGAUAUGCUGGUUGUAGUCGUUAUAGUGAAGUUGAUCCUGGACAUAGAGACACUGUCGGUGCACCCUACAGAAACCCAAAUACCCCACCCGCAUGCAUGAAUUUGGCCAUGUCAGAUGUCUCGUCUUAGAGAAGGUAGUCACGUCCUGUGAACUCCUAUGCAAAUAUUAGAGUUUUGGGUUUUUGGAUACAUAUCCUCAUUACGACAAGCUAAAACGUGAAUCUCAGUGUGUCUAUAGACCCUAUUGUUGCCCCUAUGCUGGACCAGAAUGCACUAUCAUUAGUGACAUUCCUUGUUUGGCAACUCACUUAAAAGAUGAUUGAAACUGGGUCAAAGCUAAACACUGAUAACUAUGCAAGCAUGUUGGGUUUCUUGAUUUUGAUGCCUUUGGCUCUCGUCUAUUUUGGUAGUUAGGUCUAUCCUUAGAAAUUUUCACGUCAAUACAGUGCUUGCUUCGAUGGGAGUUUUCUUCUUUUGAUAUUGUGCUCGAGAUCAAAUGAGCCACGACUUCAAUUUCACUAUCUAAAAUCAAUGGACCUAAGAUCAAUGUUCCCAAAAUCGGUGCUGCAAUCCCUAUAAACCUUAGAAUAUGAUGUAACGAUUAUGUUCAGGAUUGUUGUUCCUAUCAUUUGGAGGCUCAAAACCAAGGCAACUUUGAACGCAGUUGUGUCCCAUCAAGAUUCAUGUUCUAUAUAGAUGGUUUUAGGGGGUCGAUUUCUCAAGCUAGGUGUUGGAUGAUGUGAGAUCGAGUUUCUUAGAGCGCAAGACUACAAUGGAUGUUUCGAUCAAUGACUCAGAGUAUCGUUCCGAUUAUUUGAGAAUGUUGCAAAUUGAUAUCUUGGCGGGUAAAGGAAGAUUGGUUGCUUGUGUUGAUGUGAAUGAGAGGUAUAUCUGAUUACUACUCAAAAAGUGUUAUUUCAUAGCUUGUAAUUAACUCUUUUAAACACUUUUGAGUAGUAGUUAUUGCCUUUUAACCCAAUUAACAUGUUAAGGACCCUUGCAAUCAAUUCUAAUCAAAUUGUGUUAAGUUUUGGUGUUUUGAUAGCUUUUGAUCACCAAAGCAAUCCGAGAUUGAGGAGAGUUAUAUGGAAUCUUGGGCAAAGCAAUUGGAAGCUCAGAACAUGAAGAAGUAAAGCUUUGAAGUCCUUUGCCAAGAGUAAAUCCAGAAUGCAAGGAGAGGAAGAAAGAGAAUCUGCCAUGAAGCAUAUUCUUGAUGAUAGUCGUGUCAGCCACUUUUGGAGCACUUUCUGAAGUCCAAUUUAUGCAUACUAUAUGUCAUUUCGAAGCUCAGGAAGUCAACAAUCCAAUUCUUCAAACGGUAUAGAAUUUGGAGUUGAAAUGAAGGAGUUACAGCCAUUGCAAUCCGAUCACUCCAAGCUGAAGGAAGAAUUUUGCACAGCGCUGUGAAAUCACCCUUUUGUUGCGAAAUGAUUUCGCAGCCUUUUUGUACAAUGCUGUGGAUUUCCCCCUGAAGUUUCCCGUCACGUUGGAAGCCGAACACCGCAAGCUGAAAGACCACUUCACAGCGUUACGAAAUCAGCCGUUUGCUGCGAAGUUAUUUCGCAGCCCUUUUUGUGCAUCUGCGAAAUCUCGCAGACCUCGUUUUCACCUGCGAAAUGGUCCUUAGUGCUUCCCGAUAUUUGUCUACCGACUCUUUUAGAUCUUUUCUUCAGAUAUUUUUGUAUAAAUUUCCAUUUUCUCCUUGUAUUCAGCCACUCAUGUAAUUUCUUAGCUAGAAAGUAUCCAAGGAAGGGUAAAUUACCUUCCUAUAUAAACUCUCUUGUAAACACUAAAAAUGGGACUCUCUGGGAGUUUUAACCAGGAGAUCCAAUAUAGAUAGAUAUAUCAUAUAUAGAAUCAACGAACAGAGCACUUGCUCUGCUUUUCAUAUAUAUUCUUGUUUUCUCAUUAGUUUUUCAUUUCUAGCCAAUCAAACUCUGAGGAUUUUUCCUCAGAGGAUGAGAGGCUAGGCUUUUCGUCUCUUAGAGUGAGGAAAUCCGGGUAAGUUUCCACAUGCAUAAUUUGGAAGUUUUGUUGUUUUAGUUUUUAAUGAAGAGAAAGUGUGACCCGUUAAUGGUUUUUAUCUUUUUAGUUAACUUAAAACACCUUAGAGUCACCUGGGCUAACACUUGGUAAGGCAAGUGAUCUCCAACCAUGGAGAUGCACUAGUUUACCCCUUGCGAGCCUCUGGGAGGUGACUUUAAGGUAGGAUUUUCUGGAAUUGCCAACACUUGGUAAGCUUUUGGACUCCAAGGAGACAUCCAUUAGUUAUCUCUUGCGAGCUUGAGAAGGGAAGUCCAAGGUUAAAGAUCAUCUUGAAUGGCAAGUGCUAGGUGAGAGGCAUGAGCCAUUGCAAAGUGCAUCAGUGAGAGGGAUUUAGUGUUUGAACCCAUUAAUGGGAAGCAUCUGUACAACACCGGUUGGAGAAUUAACUAUAUGUUAAUUCUCUAAUGCGAGGAAAAGAAACAAGUGACCGGAACUCCCUUUUUGUAUGAGGAACCUGAGCCUAGUGAUCUGAACUCCAAGAAACACUUUUCUUUGUAAGUAAAAUCAGUUAUUAUUUUUGGUUAGUUUAAAACCAAACCUUUUUCAUUCAAACAUCUUUAUGUUUUCUUUUAAAGCUAACCUUGAAAUGAAAAGGCACCAAUUCAACUUUGAAUUAAUAUCAUUUGUGAAGUGAAAACCCAUCCCAGUGAACGAUCCUAGAGCCACUAUGUUAUAGUAGCUUUGUCUUUGCUACCCUAGUAUAUGGUGUAAUAGGUUAUAAAUUUUGUUGAUUAAUCCCUCAAUCAAGGAGCACCAGCUGCACACGAAUCAGCUGAGACACCAAUUGGGCACAAAUCAAUAUCUUUCUGAAAUUAUUCGAUAGUGAAGAGGUUGCUAACAGAUUGGAAAAUCUGAAUAUGAAGAGUAAAAUAAGAUUCAGUGAACACGAGGAAGAGAGAGAUUGGAAUCUUAGGAAGAAAGCGAAGAAAAUUCUUCAAUUAAUUGAAAAGUUGCAUCAAGACAGUGAAAUUCAAAUGAUCAAGAAGAUGCAUCGAAACAACAUCAUAUUCAAAUAACAUGUGAUUAAGAGACAUGUAAGUGGUCGGAUGCGAAAUUGAUUUUAAAAAAAAAAAACAGAUUGUAUGUAAUGACUGAGAAGUUCUUUUUUGUCUCGGUUAAAAAACACGGAACAAGUUGUGCGAGCCACUACAAUUCACUAGUGUGCGUAGAAGGGUCUUCUGGAAAAAGCUCAGUGGCAUGUUUUUCAUGAGUAGAUGGAGAGGACAAAGGCUGCCCAAAAACUUGUAAUACCACAUUCACUUAGCAUUGGGAAGUCAAACUGCAUAACACAAUCUUUAACAACAACUAGAGAAUGAGGCUCACGUUCGAGAAAUCGAGGAAGAGUGGUGUGACAAUGUAAGGUCUAUUGAAGAUAUUUGAGCCAAACUGUUAAAAGUGCAGGAGGCAACAACUAAGCGUGAGAGAGUCAUGGCCCAUGCUUUGGCUCAUAAGUGGCGGGCUGGAUCAAGGUGAUAGGUUGUCCCCUCUAUGUUUGAACUAGAUAAAAGCUACUGGAAGUGGGAGCUAGUUGGAAUGAUGGAUGGUUGUUUGUCCAUGUGAUAACCAGAUUUUGGACAUAAAUAUGAAAUAUGGAAUGGUGAUUCUUGAAAAUAGGUUGGCUAUAGGAAAGAGAAGUUACAGGAUAACACACUUUUUGCAUGGCCACCUUUGGUAUGCAGCCCCAUUAGCAGCGUGGCUUUCUUUCACCUUUUUUAGUCUUUGAUUUUAAAAAUCAUUCCCCAAACCCCAGUUUUCAAAGUAGUUUUCCAAGUUCUAGUUUUCAAAUAAUUUCAAGUCUCCAAAUUCUUCAUCCUUAGAUUUUUUUUUAGGGUCCCGAAAGUCCUGUUUUUAAUAAAAUUUGAUGUCAUUUUCUUCGACAUGCAAUUUUCAUAAUUUCCAUGAUUUUUAAAAAUGUUUUAAAUAAACAUGAAUUUAAUUUUGUAAUUUCAAAUGAUGGAAUUUAUGAAAUUAAUUCACGCAAAAAUAAAUUGGGCUUUGGUAGGGAUCCAACAUUAAAGAAGCUUUAUUUAAAAAUAAAUUUGAGUGAAGUGUGGUGUGAUAUCCGAUGACUUCUUACUCUGUUUAGUGGCUUGUGUGACAUACAUUGUGUUCAUAUUUGCACACUAACCCCAUUUCCUGAUAGCGCAUUGUCGUUUGCUGCUAAGGUAUGCAUCCAUUCUCACUUUGGCCAUUCUUUAUGCAUGUUUUAAUUUCCAUAUGUGUAUGAUCAUUUUGGGUAUCCACGUUUAAUCAAUCCAUUGCCAUGAUUGCUUCAUUUUACUAGUAGAGGGGUGCUACGGUCUUUACUGUACCUUCCCAAUAAGUAACCUAACCCCCGAACUCAUAUUUGGUUUUUCACAAGCCACCUUUUUCCAAAUAAGGAGUCAUACUUAGGGUUUUCUUUCUUAUUUUGUUUACCCUUUAAAAAUAAAACAAAAAUAAGUGGCGACUCCAAGUCAUUUUCUUAAUCAAUAAAUCAUUUUCAAAUAAAAAGCGAAUUCACUAUCGAGUGGAAGCGCAUGGGCAGAAAUGCAGGGUCCACAAAAUGGAAACUCCACUAGGGUUCGUUUAGAGAGUCAAGCUUGAACUUAGGAUGAAGCAAAUGUGACAUUUGAUUGGUCGAUCAGUGGGUACCUAUCUCUUGAUUGCAUGUUAAGAGCUUUAGAUAUCGUAGGAUGUAUGUUUGGUUAUUGUAUUCGUUUGGGACAUUGACAAGUUGAUUAUAUUGAUUGAUGAUGCGACUCUUGGUAGCUUAGCUUUAAAGGCGUAUCAACAAAAUUUAUACCUUAAAUACUAUUACUAAAGUAGCCAAGCUACUAUAGCAUAGUGGUUCUAGGAUCGUUCACUGGGAAGGGUUUUCGCAAACACAAGUGAUAUUCAAAUUAGGAAAAUAGGUGAUUUUCUUAUGGAUGUUAGCUUUAAAAGAAGAUGUAAAUGUUUUAGAAAGAUUUAAACUAAUCUAAGCUAACAUUAAAGACUAAAAUGAAAGGGUGUAAAAACAAGUUUCUCAAAGAUAGGAUAGCUAUGCUCUGGCUCUUAUGCAAAUUGGAAAUCUCAGGAUAGGCUCCUCGCGUUGGGGUUACAACUAUGGUGAUGCUUGCUUCCCGNNNNNNNNNNNNNNNNNNNNNNNNNNNNNNNNNNNNNNNNNNNNNNNNNNNNNNNNNNNNNNNNNNNNNNNNNNNNNNNNNNNNNNNNNNNNNNNNNNNNAGAGCAUAAUACAAACUCUAAGACUCAUGUAAUCAAGUUGAAACUCGACUUCUCUCAUUUAAUUUUGAGAGUUAAUCCUUAAUAUCCAUGGAGUUUAAAGCAAAAAUUUAAAAUUUAAACAAAAAGUAGCUAAUUUAACUAAGUAUGAUAAAAAUUUAAACUAAUACUUACUUCCUCAUCUCUCCCCCCAACCGAGAUGAACAUUGUCCUCAAUGUUUGAAUCGAAAAUAAGGAGGAAGGAAGUGGUACCUCAUGUGAUGUGGACUUGGAGUUGAGAAGGUUGAACACCUGUUUCAAAAUUCAAAAAUUGAAUGAGAGAGGAAUUUAUACUAAAUAUUUACAAAAAUGAUGAGUGGGCCCCACUUUGAGCAGCUGAGGACAAGGCUCAAAGGGUCCAUGCCAUGAUGGUAUAUUCAUAUAAGUUGCAAUGACAUUUGAAUGUAGCUUGCAGGGUGUUAAAAUUGGAGAUUUUUGGCUAAAACAGGGGAAAACAGAGGAGUGAACAGUGAGUGCCAAAAUUGGCACAGUCACUGUUCACCUCCUUUGAAGCCCGACUGUGCGUUUUCCAAGUUUUGGGAAAAAAUUCAAAAAUGGUUUUUUAAAAGGUAUGGUUAGGCUCUAAACAAGAUUCCUAAGGUGUUUGGGUAGUUUUUAAAUGAUGAAAAACAAAAUUAAAUGAUGGAAAAUGAAAAUCAAAGUGGACGGCCAUGCAUGGAAUGGUUUUGAAAAUUGAUUUUUAAAAAGUUUUGGAUGGAUGGGAUUUCUAAAAUUGGGUUUGGAUUUGAAAACAAAAGGUUUGGAAAUGCAUUCAUGAAUUUUUAAACUUGGAAAAACAUGGAAUUCAAGAAAAAGGCCUUCCCGAGAGCUUUGUUUUUAGAAAUUAGCUUGAAAAUCAUUUCGCACCAAGAUAAACAAGGUGCGAAAGUUUUCGCACUGGUAUUUUAGGUGCGAAGAUAGCAUCCCGGGAGGCUUGGCUUUCCAAAAUGUAUAGAAAUUCCUUUUCGCACCAUGCACUGUCACUGUGCGAAAAAUUCGCACUGAGUGUGUUCAUGGUGCGAAAUUCCACUGAGANNNNNNNNNNNNNNNNNNNNNNNNNNNNNNNNNNNNNNNNNNNNNNNNNNNNNNNNNNNNNNNNNNNNNNNNNNNNNNNNNNNNNNNNNNNNNNNNNNNNNNNNNNNNNNNNNNNNNNNNNNNNNNNNNNNNNNNNNNNNNNNNNNNNNNNNNNNNNNNNNNNNNNNNNNNNNNNNNNNNNNNNNNNNNNNNNNNNNNNNNNNNNNNNNNNNNNNNNNNNNNNNNNNNNNNNNNNNNNNNNNNNNNNNNNNNNNNNNNNNNNNNNNNNNNNNNNNNNNNNNNNNNNNNNNNNNNNNNNNNNNNNNNNNNNNNNNNNNNNNNNNNNNNNNNNNNNNNNNNNNNNNNNNNNNNNNNNNNNNNNNNNNNNNNNNNNNNNNNNNNNNNNNNNNNNNNNNNNNNNNNNNNNNNNNNNNNNNNNNNNNNNNNNNNNNNNNNNNNNNNNNNNNNNNNNNNNNNNNNNNNNNNNNNNNNNNNNNNNNNNNNNNNNNNNNNNNNNNNNNNNNNNNNNNNNNNNNNNNNNNNNNNNNNNNNNNNNNNNNNNNNNNNNNNNNNNNNNNNNNNNNNNNNNNNNNNNNNNNNNNNNNNNNNNNNNNNNNNNNNNNNNNNNNNNNNNNNNNNNNNNNNNNNNNNNNNNNNNNNNNNNNNNNNNNNNNNNNNNNNNNNNNNNNNNNNNNNNNNNNNNNNNNNNNNNNNNNNNNNNNNNNNNNNNNNNNNNNNNNNNNNNNNNNNNNNNNNNNNNNNNNNNNNNNNNNNNNNNNNNNNNNNNNNNNNNNNNNNNNNNNNNNNNNNNNNNNNNNNNNNNNNNNNNNNNNNNNNNNNNNNNNNNNNNNNNNNNNNNNNNNNNNNNNNNNNNNNNNNNNNNNNNNNNNNNNNNNNNNNNNNNNNNNNNNNNNNNNNNNNNNNNNNNNNNNNNNNNNNNNNNNNNNNNNNNNNNNNNNNNNNNNNNNNNNNNNNNNNNNNNNNNNNNNNNNNNNNNNNNNNNNNNNNNNNNNNNNNNNNNNNNNNNNNNNNNNNNNNNNNNNNNNNNNNNNNNNNNNNNNNNNNNNNNNNNNNNNNNNNNNNNNNNNNNNNNNNNNNNNNNNNNNNNNNNNNNNNNNNNNNNNNNNNNNNNNNNNNNNNNNNNNNNNNNNNNNNNNNNNNNNNNNNNNNNNNNNNNNNNNNNNNNNNNNNNNNNNNNNNNNNNNNNNNNNNNNNNNNNNNNNNNNNNNNNNNNNNNNNNNNNNNNNNNNNNNNNNNNNNNNNNNNNNNNNNNNNNNNNNNNNNNNNNNNNNNNNNNNNNNNNNNNNNNNNNNNNNNNNNNNNNNNNNNNNNNNNNNNNNNNNNNNNNNNNNNNNNNNNNNNNNNNNNNNNNNNNNNNNNNNNNNNNNNNNNNNNNNNNNNNNNNNNNNNNNNNNNNNNNNNNNNNNNNNNNNNNNNNNNNNNNNNNNNNNNNNNNNNNNNNNNNNNNNNNNNNNNNNNNNNNNNNNNNNNNNNNNNNNNNNNNNNNNNNNNNNNNNNNNNNNNNNNNNNNNNNNNNNNNNNNNNNNNNNNNNNNNNNNNNNNNNNNNNNNNNNNNNNNNNNNNNNNNNNNNNNNNNNNNNNNNNNNNNNNNNNNNNNNNNNNNNNNNNNNNNNNNNNNNNNNNNNNNNNNNNNNNNNNNNNNNNNNNNNNNNNNNNNNNNNNNNNNNNNNNNNNNNNNNNNNNNNNNNNNNNNNNNNNNNNNNNNNNNNNNNNNNNNNNNNNNNNNNNNNNNNNNNNNNNNNNNNNNNNNNNNNNNNNNNNNNNNNNNNNNNNNNNNNNNNNNNNNNNNNNNNNNNNNNNNNNNNNNNNNNNNNNNNNNNNNNNNNNNNNNNNNNNNNNNNNNNNNNNNNNNNNNNNNNNNNNNNNNNNNNNNNNNNNNNNNNNNNNNNNNNNNNNNNNNNNNNNNNNNNNNNNNNNNNNNNNNNNNNNNNNNNNNNNNNNNNNNNNNNNNNNNNNNNNNNNNNNNNNNNNNNNNNNNNNNNNNNNNNNNNNNNNNNNNNNNNNNNNNNNNNNNNNNNNNNNNNNNNNNNNNNNNNNNNNNNNNNNNNNNNNNNNNNNNNNNNNNNNNNNNNNNNNNNNNNNNNNNNNNNNNNNNNNNNNNNNNNNNNNNNNNNNNNNNNNNNNNNNNNNNNNNNNNNNNNNNNNNNNNNNNNNNNNNNNNNNNNNNNNNNNNNNNNNNNNNNNNNNNNNNNNNNNNNNNNNNNNNNNNNNNNNNNNNNNNNNNNNNNNNNNNNNNNNNNNNNNNNNNNNNNNNNNNNNNNNNNNNNNNNNNNNNNNNNNNNNNNNNNNNNNNNNNNNNNNNNNNNNNNNNNNNNNNNNNNNNNNNNNNNNNNNNNNNNNNNNNNNNNNNNNNNNNNNNNNNNNNNNNNNNNNNNNNNNNNNNNNNNNNNNNNNNNNNNNNNNNNNNNNNNNNNNNNNNNNNNNNNNNNNNNNNNNNNNNNNNNNNNNNNNNNNNNNNNNNNNNNNNNNNNNNNNNNNNNNNNNNNNNNNNNNNNNNNNNNNNNNNNNNNNNNNNNNNNNNNNNNNNNNNNNNNNNNNNNNNNNNNNNNNNNNNNNNNNNNNNNNNNUCCCUGGAGAAGUGGAUGCUUUAAAGGGUUCAAGUAACCCUUUAUCAUCUUGAACCUUAUGAUUUUCAAUGGAAGGUUGGUCCAUAAAGUUGUCAUAGCAAUCCCCCACCAAAGUGUCGAUCAUCAACACUUUCCUUGAUCUUUUUGCAUUGGUUCCUUGAAGGUUAUGGUGGGGUUGAGGAGGAAGCUUCCUUUUCCCCCUUGCUAUGUCGAGAUUGGUGAGCUUCUCAAUGGAGUCUUGAACUUUUUCUAUCCUUAGUGAUAGAUCAUUAUAAACCCCCUCCAUUCUUAUAUUUAUUGAACUCUCCAAAUUAUCAAUCUUUUCAUUAAGAUGAGAGUUGAUCUUUUGUUGCUCACCUACAAAGUCCUCCAUGACUUUGCUUAACUUCAAAAUGGCUUGCUCCAAUGAAGAUGUACUCAUUGAUGGUUGAGGUUGAGGUUGGGUUGUAAGGUUGGGAUGGUUUAUAUACUCAAAUGAAGUUGGCAUGGCUUGUGGUUGUGCUUCAGUAUGCACAUUCCUCAAUUCAAACUCCUCUAUCCUUCUAGCCAUAGAUGCUAGCUUUGCCUUCAUGCUUGUGUCUUCAUUCAAGGCAUACUUACUACCCCAUUGGCUUUGUUGAACUUGCCUUUUCCGUAACUCAAUCCGAUCCCUCAUGGAUAAGUAUGCAAAUUUGUCCUUCUUAUGAUCAUAAUGAGAGCUUUGAUAUUCAUGUGGAAUUUCCAUUUCUAAAAAAAAAUGAUAUUCAACUAAGCCCCUUUUCUUCAACUUGUACCAGGGUUCCCUCUUGGUCUCGAAUCCAACAAGGAAUGCACAAAUUGAAAUUAAAACAAAAAUAAAAGAAAAGAGAAUAAAAAAAAUUUAACUAAAUAAAAACUAAACUAAAAAAAAAUUAUAAGAAAACUCACCAAACUUGUGAUGAAGAUCACAAGUUACCCUUAAUGGUUGCUUCACUGUGCUUGUGGCACCUUCCCCGGCAACGGCGCCAUUUGAUGCGACUCUUGGUAGCUUAGCUUUAAAGGCGUAUCAACAAAAUUUAUACCUUAAAUACUAUUACUAAAGUAGCCAAGCUACUAUAGCAUAGUGGUUCUAGGAUCGUUCACUGGGAAGGGUUUUCGCAAACACAAGUGAUAUUCAAAUUAGGAAAAUAGGUGAUUUUCUUAUGGAUGUUAGCUUUAAAAGAAGAUGUAAAUGUUUUAGAAAGAUUUAAACUAAUCUAAGCUAACAUUAAAGACUAAAAUGAAAGGGUGUAAAAACAAGUUUCUCAAAGAUAGGAUAGCUAUGCUCUGGCUCUUAUGCAAAUUGGAAAUCUCAGGAUAGGCUCCUCGCGUUGGGGUUACAACUAUGGUGAUGCUUGCUUCCCGAACCGGUAUGGAUUUAGCAAAUCAAGUUUUAAUCCUUUAAAAUGGCAAAAGAGAUGGUAGUGAAUUUCAUCAAUGGUUAUUCACCUUAGACUUCCUUUGAAUGGCUCGUAAGAGAUAACUAAUGGUCUAAAGCCAAAAGCUUACCAAAUAUUGGCAACUCAAAGUCAUUCCAGGUGAUAAACUCACCUUUCAAUGGCCAUUGAAAUUGGUUCUAACAGAUUAAUGCAAAACUUGGAAUUGAAAACCUCACCUUCCAAUAGCUCGUAGGAGAUAACUAAUGGAUAGAAAUCCAAAAGCUUAUCAAGUAUUGGCCGUUGGAAGUUGUCCAAAGGAAAUAAAAACCAAACUUUGCAUUAAUGAACCGUUAAUGAAAAACGACUACCUUACCUUCCAGGUGCGAGAAAUUUUCAUGGGAUUGCAUCCAAGCCAUCACAUAACAUCCAUACUUUGAGAAACUAAAAGUUUUAGCCAAUCAUCCUCUAAGGAAAAGCCCUCAGAGGCUGUUUAGCUACUAAGAAAAUAGAAAUGGGGAAGAACAGGAGAAGAGAGAAAAACAAAGCUUUAUAUAUUUCUAAGUUAAUGUACAGAGGAUCGAUCACCCUAUAUCCCUUUCUCUUUUUUUUUGUUGGAGGUGUUGUGCACCUCUAUAUAUAGCAAAAUUACAAGAUAAAGCUUUAUGUCGGCUGAAUACAAGGUUACAAAAGGAAUUUACAUGAGAAAAUAUCAAGCUAAAAAUAUUUGGGAAGUCGGUGGUGCGUGCGUGGAGAAACAGAGGAUUCAAAGGAAUUUCGCAAUGUGAAUUUCACAUUGCGAAAUUUUCGCAAUGUGAAUUACUCAUGAUGCGAAGUGCCAUAUUUUCGCAUCAUGAGUUAAUUCACCUUGCGAAAUGGCAAAAUUUCGCACCAUGAAGAAAAUCUCCUUGCGAAAUUUUCGCAAUGUGAAAUUCACCUUGCGAAAUUGGUCAUUUGGCAUGAUGCAGUUGCCUUCUGAAGGCCAUAUCUUCCUCAUUUCAGCUCCAAAUCAUACACGGUUUGAAGCGUUGGAUUCUUGACUUCCUAAGCUUUCAAAUGGUAUAUAGCAUGUAGAAAAUGGACUUCGGGAAGUGCUCCAAAAGUGUGAAAGAAGACUGCAGCUGUUUUCUUCACUCUGUUUUCCUCUUCUCCAUUGCUUGUGCUCGUGNNNNNNNNNNNNNNNNNNNNNNNNNNNNNNNNNNNNNNNNNNNNNNNNNNNNNNNNNNNNNNNNNNNNNNNNNNNNNNNNNNNNNNNNNNNNNNNNNNNNUACUCAUGAUGCGAAGUGCCAUAAUUUCGCAUCAUGAGUAAUCACUUGCGAAAUGGCAAAAUUUCGCACCAUGAAGAAAAUCUCCUUGCGAAAUUUUCGCAAUGUGAAAUUCACCUUGCGAAAUUGGUCAUUUGGCAUGAUGCAGUUGCCUUCUGAAGGCCAUAUCUUCCUCAUUUCAGCUCCAAAUCAUACACGGUUUGAAGCGUUGGAUUCUUGACUUCCUAAGCUUUCAAAUGGUAUAUAGCAUGUAGAAAAUGGACUUCGGGAAGUGCUCCAAAAGUGUGAAAGAAGACUGCAGCUGUUUUCUUCACUCUGUUUUCCUCUUCUCCAUUGCUUGUGCUCGUGUUUCCACUUGAAAUUCAAGCCUGUAAUCAUCCAAAAUCCUUGCUUAACUCGCCCAAAUAGCUCCUCCAUCAAUUGGCAUGCUUGAAUUGGUUCAUAAGCUGAUAAAAACAUGUAAACUUGCCACAAAAAUGGUUAAAACCAAUUACUAAGGACCUUAAUGAAUUAAUUGGGUUAAAUGAAUAUGAUUACUACUCAAAGGUGCUUAAAACCAUUAUUAUUAGGUCUACAAAAUAGCACUUUUUGGUAGUAAUCAAUUGAUUAUCAUGAUUGAUGAUUCCGAUUGUAGCAAUUUUUCCUAUGCUUCAUUGCUAUAUUUGUUUGGGACAUUGACAUGCUAAUUAUAUUGAUUGAUUAUCAUGAUUGAUGAUUCUAAUUGUAGUGAUUUUUCUUGUGCUUCAUUGCUAUAUUUGUUUGGGACAUUGACAUGCUGAUUAUAUUGAUUGAUCAUUUUGCCUUGCUUAGCAUAGUGACUCUGAUUUUGUCAUGAUCGUCCCGUUUUUAAGGACUUAGAGGGGUGUUACGGUCUCUACCAUACUUUCCCAAUAAGUAACCUGACCCCUAAGCCCAUAUUUGGUUUUUCAUGACCCAUCUUUUCCAAACAAGGAGUCACAUUUAUAGUUUUUUUUUCUUAUUUUAUUUACCCUAUAAAAAUAAAACAAAAAUAAGUGGUGACUCCAAGUCAUUUUCUUAAUCAAUAAAUCAUUUUCAAAUAAAAAGCGAAUUCGCCAUCGAAUGGAAGCGCAUGAGUAGAAAUAUAGGGUUCACAAAAUAAAGACUCCACUAGGGAUCGUUUAGAAAGUCAAGCUUGAACUUGGGAUGAAGCAAAUGUGACAUUUGAUUGGUCGAUCAGUGGGUACCUAUCUCUUGAUUACACGGUAAGAGCUCUGGAUAUCAUUGGAUGCAUGUUUGGGUAUUGUAUUCAUUUGGGACAUUAACAGUUUGGAUUCAGUACUCCAUCUUUUAUCCUUCAAUUGAGAGUGCACAGAUAUCAGUAUGAGUUUGAGUUAUGGUCAGACAGUCAGUCUACACUUUGAUGUCUUGCUCAUUUCAGUUCAGAUUAGCAUUUCUUUUGUGUUUUCCUUGUGUCGUACCUUUAUUCUGCUUCUCAUGUUCCAAGAUCGACACUUUGUUCUCAGUCUGAAUUUACCUUCUUGGGUCAGAGUAGAUGAGAGAUUAGUUUGGUUUUCAGAGAGAUCAGAUAUAGAUCAGCAGGUUGUCAUGGUUGAUCAGUUUAUGGCUGUCAUGGCUUCUAUUUAGGAGGCCUUGGUCAGUCUCAGGUAGAAGAUAGGCAGUCAUCAAAGUAGACCACCCGUAGUUCAGGAUGAGAUGCCUUAUGACUCAUUGCCACCCCCACCACCACCAUCUGUUCUGAUAAUGCCUCAGGCCUCACCUUAUCUAUUACAUGGUCAUUCUGAGGUCGCCCCACCUGCAGUCAUUCAGACCACAGUCAUUGAUGAUGCUCACGCACGCAUGGACCGUAUUGAACAACAUAUGAGAUAGUUGAGAGUAUCUAAUGGUUCAACAGCUUAAGAUGAUCUUGAGGGUAUGUCGGUGGCCAGUUUACCGACCAAGUUUAGGAUGCCCGACAAUAAGAUACACAAGCAUUGGUUGUCCUCGCAGCCAUCUCCGACUCUACAGCACAUUGAUGAGGGCCCAUAGAUUGGAUGAGUCACAGAUGAUCACUUUAUUCCCACUAUCUUUGAGUGGAGCGGCCCAGCGCUGGUUUGCGUCUUUGGAGUCCUCAUGGCGCAAGACGUGGGAUGACCUGGCCCAGGAGUUUUUACUACAGUUUUCAUUUAAUAAUGUCGUAGAUGUAUCGAGGAGAGAGCUUGAGGCUCUGAGACAGAGGUCCAACAAGUCCGUUUCCUUAUUCAUCUCCCCUUGGCUCGGGAAAAUAGUUGAGAUCAUUGAUAGGCCAUCAUAGAGGGAUCAGAUACAGAUGGUUCUAAGGAGUCUGCAACCCAAGAUUGCCAAACAUGUAGUUGGGAUACCUUUAACAUAUUUCGAUUAUUUAGUUUUGGACCUAUAUGAUGUCGAGGAUGGCAUUUAUAGAGGAUUGUGGACAGAUUCUUCCCCCAUUGAUGUUAAGGAGAAGAAACCCUUUAGAGGACAGAGGUCAGUUGAUGUGAGCGUCAUUAGUUAUACCAGUCAGAGGCCUCCUAGGUGUCAUCAGCUAGUUCCAAUGCUUCCUGAGGCUCACUCUUCUUAUGCACCUCAGCAGUAUAGGCCACAGGUGCCUCAUCAAACUUAUGAUCAGACCUACACGCCACCUACAUUAUCAUUGCCUUACUAUGCCACCUAGGGCAUAGAGAGACCACCUAUUUCAUAUACGGCCAUAAGGCAACCAUGCUAUGCAGCGCAGUUUGCCGUGAGACCUACAUCAUCUUAUCCCAGGCCUAGAGCUCAGCAGACCUCUGCAUUUUUUGCUUUGAGAACAUAGAGACAAUUUUCACAGUUAGGUAUGCCGUUGAGCCAGGCUCUUCGAAAGCUUACAGAGGUUGGAUUGUUGACUGCUCUCACUCUCAGACCACCACUUUAGCCUAUUCCGCCUCAGUUAAGGAUGGAUCUAAACUAUGGAUAUCACUAGGGGCAUGUACACGAGACUGAUCAUUGUAAUGCUCUGAGACAUGCCAUCCAGGAUCUGAUUGACCAAGGUUUGGUUCACUUGGUUCAGUCGAGUGUAACCACAAACCCAUUACCAGCCCACACUACACACGCGAUUCACCCUCUGACUGAUGGCAUACAUUUCCUAGACUUUGCUAAGCUUGACGACCACAUUUACAUGCUGAGUUAGGAUGAUUCAGAUCCAGAACCCAUAGUAUCGGAUGGGAUUUAUGAGAUAGGCAAGGUGAAUUUAGGCCCUCAGAUGCCCACUCCAUUCAGACUAUUUUCCGAAGCGGCAUCAGUGCAAACGACCACUAUUGAUCCAUUGACUUUCCUUCAUUACAAUGUUACGAUGUCGUUCGUCUUGGUCUUGGAUAUUGAGGAGGUUCAGACUCCUUAUGUUGAUGUUUCUCAGGCUUUUGAUAUACAGUAUAUUCUUUGCGGGGGCAGGGUCUUGCAACAGCCACCUCCCACAACUGCUAGACCCUUGGAGGGUACAUCUGCUCCCAAGGAGGUUAGGAGAGAUGAUAAUGAGAUUCUGAGGCAAUUACAGAGCACACAAGCUCGCAUUUCUAUUUGGAGCUUGUUAGCAUCUUCCAACACUCACCGAGAUACACUGAUUCGAGUCCUGAGCCAGAUCAGAGUUGAGACUACCACCACUACGGAGGGGUUGAUCCAUAUGGUGAUGGCUGGCAGAGCCACAUGCAUAGUAUUCUCUAAUGAUGACUUGCCACUAGAGGGUUCAGACCACAUACGUCCACUUUAUAUAUCAAUUGGUUAUUCAAGCCCCCAAGUCCCAUCUAUCCUUUUGGACAAUGGCUCAGCCCUGAAUGUCUGUCAUUUGGCCACAUCCAUCGCCCUCAGCUACGCACCAUCUAACUUUGGUCCCUCCACUUAGACAAUUCGAGCAUACGAUAACACUUAGAGAAAGGUCAUGGGCACUCUGAAGAUUGAGCUGUUGAUAGGUCCCGCCAUAUUUGUCACUGUGUUCUAGGUUUUGAGGAUUCCUACAUCCUUUAACCUGCUUUUGGGCCGACUAUGGAUCCAUAGAGUUGGGGCCAUUCCUUCUUCCCUUCAUCAGAAGGUGAAGUUCAUUCACGAUGGCUAGGUCGUCACAGUGCAAUAUGUGGGAGAUAUGUUCAUUUCUUCUGAGCUAGUGCUUUAGAUUAGUCACAGUGAUGAUAACCUAUUCCUGAUUGGGUUCACGUUCGACGAGGUACAGACCCUGAAGAUAGAGGGUUUUUGUCGACACUUCAUGGCUAUGUCGUUUGACUAACACGGUAGCGCAGUGGUGCUUGACAUGAUGAGGAGUAUGUCUUAUUUACCCGACAUGGGGUUGGGGCAACGUCAGCAUAGGCCCAAUGAGUUCAUGGUUAUCCCAGAUCACGAUGUACCAUUCGGACUUGGAUUCAUCCCCAUUGAGACCGAUUAUAGAUAUAUGGUGUGAUUGCGCAAGGAGCGGGUGAGGGCCCGACUGACUUAUACACCGUUUGAUUAUCCUAUUCGUCCAUACACCAUGAGUUUGGCGGACUACUUUGUGAGGGCGUCAGAGCCACAGGCCCAUUUAAACAGUAUUAUUGGGGGACUCAACACUACUCAGGAGGCCGAGCUGCAACGUCUUAUCCAUCAGUUACAGUUGAGUGAUGGAGCCCCUGGCACUUCGACAUCUGCGUUGGCUGCCCUAUCAUCUCCAGAUCGUAUGAGCCUUAUGAUGCUCUAUUUCCCGGAUAAGAUUGAUAAGCAUGGGACUUUUGCCAAAAUUGGAGACAUUGUGGAUGAAGCUAUUCCACAUGACGAGUACAUUGACGAGAUGCUCGCUAUGAGUAUGAGCCAAAUUGAGGAGGUAGUCUAGCUUGAGCUCGCUUCACCAUUUGAUCUUUUCGGGGUGUCCGUCAUAAAGAUUGCUGAGGAGAUCCAGACUACCCCUACUCUAGAGUUUACAGGGGAUGUUAUAGUUGUUGAUGAUUUAUUUGAUGGCCUUAUUGGCCUAGUUGAGGGAGCGUCCAACUUUAUGGACCCACCUUUUUCAUUUGAUGUUUUAUCGGGAUUUGUCUCCCGUUCUGACAAUGUUCAUGACUCUUCAUUUAUGGAUUUAAGCAUUUUUUUAGUAUUUGCCUGUCUCUUGUGAUAUUACUUUAUAUGCACUCUUCACCCACAUCACAGAUAUUUGAUAUUGAUGAUGAGAUUGCACAGCAUGAUUUAGAUGAUGACUCAUCUUUUGCUUCUAAUUCAAACCCCAUUGAUCAGAAAGUUUCGUCUGCUAUAGGAGACACAUAGAUUGUUGAUUUCGGUGCAACAUAUCAGCCUAAGGAGUUGAGGAUCGGAUCGAAUUUAUCCACAGAUGAGAGAGAUAGCCUCAUCUAGCUGCUUAGAUCCUACUUGGAUGUUUUCGCAUGGUCUUAUGAGGACAUGUCAGGCCUUGAUCUAUCUAUCAUCCAACAUCGUUUGCCAUUUCUACCACAUGCCAGACCGAUUAAGUAGAAGUUGAGAUGAUUGCACCCUCGUUGGAGUUUGCAAGUGAAGGAGGAGAUCCAGAAGCAUCUUAGUGUAGGAUUUUUGUUAGUGAUUGAGUACCCAAAGUGGCUGGCUAAUGUCAUCCCUGUUCUAAAAAAGGACGGCAAGGUGAGAGUCUAUGUUGAUUUCCGAGAUCUCAACAAGGUCAGUCCUAAGGAUGAUUUUCCUCUCCCACACAUCGACAUGCUAGUCGAUAGUAUGAUAGGUCAUUCGAUGUUGUCCUUUAUGGACCAAUUUUCUAGGUAUAGUAAGAUUCUGAUGGCUCUAGAUGACAUGGAGAAAACGUCCUUCAUUACCGAAUGGGGUACCUAUUGUUACCGGGUCAUGCCAUUUGGAUUGAAGAAUGUAGGAGCUACCGAUCAGAGAGCAACGACCACCAUCUUCCAUGACAUGAUGCAUCAGGAUGUCGAGGUUUAUGUAGAUGACAUGAUAGUGAAAUCCCAAGAUAGAGCAGAUCAUUUAGCAGCUUUGGAGAGGUUCUUUAAGAGGAUCAGGCAGUUUAGAUUGAGACUGAAUCCUAAGAAGUUCACUUUCGAAGUGACUUAUGGGAAGCUCCUAGGAUACAUGGUUUGUAAGAGAGGCAUAGAGGCAGAUUCAGAUAAGAUCAGAGCCAUCCUUGACAUGUCUGCACCGAGGACUGAGAGAGAGAUCAGAGGCUUCUUGGGUAGACUUCAAUACAUUAGCAAAUUCAUUGCCAUAUUCACAGACAUCUAUGAGCCCAUUUUUCGACUCUUGAGGAAAAGUCAACCUACUAUUUGGGAUGAUCAGUGUCAGCGCACAUUUGAGAGGAUCAGAGAGUACUUAUUGUCACCUCCAGUUUUGGUGCCUCCUAUACUAGGUUAUCCUUUACUCCUAUACCUAUCAGUCUCAACCGUAGCUUUGGAUUGCAUGUUGGCUCAGCUUGAUGAUUCGAGCAAGAAGCCAUUUAUUAUCUGAGUAAGAUGAUGCUAGAUUAUGAGACGAGAUAUGUCAUGAUAGAGCACUACUACUUAGCAUUGGUUUGGGCCACUUGCCGAUUGAGACAUUACAUGACCAAGUAUUCAGUGUACUUGAUAUCCCAUCUAGAUCCUCUGAGAUAUUUGUUUGAUAGGCCCACUUUGAUCGGUCGCCUCAUGAGAUUGUUGGUACUUCUGAUUGAGUUUGACAUCCAUUAUGUCACUCAAAAGUCUAUCAAAUAGAGCAUUGUUGCAGAUCACCUAGCCUCAUUACCAGUUUCUAAUGGUAGAGCUAUUGAUGAUGAUUUCCCAAAUGAGGAUGUUGCUGCUGUGACUAGUUUGUCAGGUUAGUGCAUGUACUUCGAUGGUGUAGCUAACCUUUCCGGAUACGGGAUGGGUGUCUUGUUGAUAUCCCCUCAUGGUGAUCACAUCCCUAAAUAUGUUCGUUUGGCAUUCUCAAAUCGACAUCCUACCACGAAUAAUAUUGUUGAGUAUGAGGCUUGUAUCUUGGGAUUAGAGAUGACUCUUGAGUUAAGGAUUAGACAGAUGGAGGUGUUUGGUGACUCCAAUCUGGUAUUAAGACAGAUUCAAGGCGAGUGGAAGACUAGAUAUGUGAAGCAUAGGCCUUACCACGCAUACUUGGAGCUACUGGUUGGGAGAUUUGAUGAUUUGAGAUACACACAUUUGCCUAAAGCAUAGAACCGGUUUGCUGAUAUCUUAGCUACUCUAGCUUCCAUGAUCGAUAUUCCUACUGAUGCCAUUAUUCGAUUUUUACUAAUUGAGUCAUGAUCCGUUCCUGCCUAUUGUUUCUUGAUUGACGAGAUAUAGUUAGAAGAUGGUUUGCCUUGGUACCAUGACAUAUACCAUUUUUUGAGACUUGGUGCAUAUCCUGAGGCCGCCACGACCAAGGAUAAAAAGGCGUUGAGACAGUUGGCCAUCGAAUUCGUGAUUUGUGGGGAGACAUUAUACAGACAAUCAGCUGAUAGGAUGUUAUUAUUAUUGUUAGACCGCGCCUCUACCGAUUGAGUAAUGAGAGAGGUUCAUGCGGGAGUCUGCGGACCACAUAUGGGAAGGGAUAUGUUGGCCUGUAAGAUCAUGAGGACUGAUUAUUUCUGGUUGACCAUGGAGAUGAAUUGUUGCCAGUUUGUUCAGAGAUGUCCAGAGUGUCAGAUACACGGAAACCUCAUUCACAUACCCCCUUCAGAGUUACAUGCAUUGACUUCACCAUGACCAUUUUUAGUAUGGGGUAUCGACAUCAUUGGAAAGAUUUCGCCAAAAUCUUCCAAUGGUCAUGAGUUCAUCUUGGUUGCCAUCAAUUAUUUCACCAAGUGGGUGGAGGUCGCUUCAUAUGCAAGAUUGAUAUCAGUUAGGGUUGCUAGUUUCAUAAGAUCACACAUUAUUUGUCGCUAUGGAGUCCCUCAUGAGUUUAUUUCGGAUAGAGGGAUACAUUUCAAGGCAGAGGUUAACACCUUAGUGUAAAGGUAUGGUAUCUAGCAUCAUAGGUCGUCUGCGUACAGGCCACAAACAAACAGGGCAAUAGAGGCCGCGAAUAAGAAUAUUAAAAGGAUUUUAUAGAAGGUGGUUGAGACUUCUCGGGAUUGGUCAGAGAAGCUUCCAUUUGCAUUGUGGGCUUAUCGGACUUCUUUUCCCACCUCUAUAGAAGCCACACCCUACUCCUUGGUGUAUGGUGUGGAGGCAGUGCUACCAGUUGAGAUUAAGAUGGGUUCAUUGAGAGUAGCAUUAAAGCAACAUAUUCCAGAGGCAGAUUGGGCUCAGGCCUGAUUAGAUCAGCUCAAUCUCCUAAAUGAAAAAAAAUUGAGGACAGCAAACCAUGUUCAUGCAUAUCAGAGGAAGAUGGUCCGGAUUUUCAAAAAGUGAGUCAAGCCUAGACCAUUACAAAUAAGUGACUUAGUCUUGAGAGUCAUCAGAGGCUUGAUUAUAGAUCCUAGAAGGAAAUUCAGACGCAAUUGGAGCGGACCUUAUUUCAUCAGGGAGUUGACCCUAGAGAGUGUUGCAUGGUUGAUGGAUUUAGAUGAAAACCAAUUCUCAAAGCCGACCAAUGUGGAUCAGCUAAAGAGGUAUUAUGUUUGAGACCAUGGUCGCAGAAUGGGUGGCCAUCAUUUCGGUUAGCCAUAUCCCUUUAUUGUUUUUUGAUAUAUAAACUAUUGCUAGCCCAUUGAGCCUUGCAUGCGCAUUAUAACAUUUUUUUCUUAUUACCUUACUUACACUUUCACAUCGAGAUAGGGGCAUUUUUAGUGUAUGCAUGCAUUGUUUGGGAGUCUCAUGAGCCUUGGACCUAGGGGCACAUUCUUCUCAUUAUCUUUUCCUAUCACAACAUUACUGCAUUUCAUCACACUUCAUUAGUUGUGUUGUUAAUCUCAUUUUCUUUAUUUUAUCUGCUACUUGUUUUGCAUCAUCUUCGUCCACCCUGAGUGGUGAUCCUCCUCAAUUCAUUACAUGGAGGGUAGUCAUGUCAUUUCCACUAUCUAUCCUAUGGACAUUGAUCCAGGGAUCCUUAGUUCAAGAAGGUCACCUUGUCAGAGAGAGUAUGUUUAUCCAUUUUUGACCUCAUCUUGGGAGCUUAUUUGUUUGCGUUCAGAGCAUGCACGUUUGUAUAUAUGUAAAAAAAAAAUGAAAUGAAAAAGAAAGAUUAAAAAAAAAAAAACGCAGGUGUGUAGUAUUUUCUAUCAUUAAAUGUAUAUGUUGAUGUUCGAGGGUCACUUUAUUGAGUAUGUUUGUUGAUGGGAGUUCGUAUAUGAGCUUUCCAAGACCCUUCAUUCUUUGUAUUCAUUUUUUCGUAUGUUUCGAGAGUGAGAUGAGUGACCUUCUUUUAUGAGCUCUAGGUCAUUGUUCCUUCCAUCAUUGCAUUCGUUAUUGAUGUGACUUCCCUUCAUAUUUGAUUUGAGCGGAUCAUCACUCAUUCUUGUGUUCUGCGUUUCAUCAUCAUCCUCACUUUCGCUUUUGAUUCAUCAUUUUCAUUUCACCUCUUAGUCUUUUCUUACAACAACCCAUUUUCGAGUUUGAUACUCUCUUUGCAUCAUCAUUACACAUCUCAUUAUCAGUUUGAUUUGCUUCAUUUGUCUCCUCAUUGACAUUAUAUUCACAUUAGGCUCCCUCCGAUCUAUGGAUCACGGGAUUUUCUAUACAUGUUGCAUUUCAUACAUGAGGGCAUAGGUUUAUGUUCAUUGGGUAUUUGGGCCUAGUUUCCCUUCAUUUCUAUCACCCUAUCACCCUAGCCUACGUUACGUCUUGUGUCUUGAGACCACCCUGAGGCCAUGAGACCAAAUGUCAUCUUCUACAACUUCUACUUGGACAGGUGUUUGAGAUCUGGUUGAUAUUUAGAUAUUGUCAUGCUUCUUCUUCUGGGAGACACCACUCUAAUGUUUAGAUUCGUUUCAUCUGUGGAUUUGGAUUACUAGGAUCACACGUUUGAUGAGGGAUGAUUUGAUGUCACCUAACUUUUCUGGUCUAUCACUUAUUCGACACCAUACUAGGGCAUAUUUGAUUUCGGUUGAGAGUUAUAGAUCUUCAUAGAGCUACUUGAUCACCCCCACUUAUAGGAUGCGCACUGAGACGACGACAUGUUCGUUUUCUUAUCAUGAUCCCUUAGUGGAGCCUAUUUGGAGUCAUUAAGCCAAACCCACAUUUUUCGGCAUUUGGUUGCCAUCAUGCUUCUUAUUCCGGGAGACGUUUCCUAAAUGUUUGGGUUUGACUUGGAUUAUGGAGAUCACAUGUUUGAUGAGGGAUGAUUUGAUGUCACCUGACUUUUCUAAUCUAUCACAUAUUCGAUGCCAUACUAGGGCAUAUUUUCGUUUCGAUUAAGAUUUAUGGAUCUUCAUGGAGUCACACAAUCAUCUCCACUUACGAGAUACGCGCUAAGACGAUAACAUAUUCGUUAUUUUAUCAUGAUCCUCCAGUGGAGCCUUUCUUAAGCCAUUUAGUUAUGCCCACACUUUUCAGCAUUUAGAUACCAUCAUGCUUUCUUCUGGGAAACGCCUCUUUGACCUGUGGGUUUGAUUCUGUUAUGGACAUGGAUGGCUAGGAUCACACAUUUGAUGAUGAAUGAUUAGAUGUCAUUCGAUUUUCCGACCUGCCACAUAUUUGAUUCCAUACUAUGGCAUAUUUUCGUUUCGUCGAGAUUUGUAGAUCCUCAUUGAUUUGCAUGAUCAUCCUCAAUUAUGAGAUACGUGUCAAGUUGAUGAUUCGAUUUUGUUUUGUCCUGAUACUCUAAGGGAGCAUUUCUUGAGUCAUUCAGUCAGGCUCAUACUUUCUAAUAUUAUUGUGAUUCUUGGAUGGAGUUAUCUCAAUCAUAUAGGUUCCCACAUCAUUAUUUCAAUGGAGUGCAUGUUAGAUCUUUUAUAUAUCUCCAUUGAGUUAUUCACGAGUGAUUCGUGCCCAGUCGGUGUCUCUUGAUUUUGGUCCUCAGGGAGUAAUCAACAAAAUUUAUAACCUAUUACACCAUGAACUAGGGUAGCAAAGACAAAGCUACUAUAGCAUAGUGGCUCUAGGAUCGUUCACUGGGAUGGGUUUUCACUUCACAAUUGAUAUUAAUUCAAAGAUGAAUUGGUGCCUUUUCAUUUCAAUGUUAGCUUUAAAAGAAAACCUAAUCUUUAGUGGAAAAGGUUGGUUUAAGCUAACCAAAAAUAGUAACUAAUUUUACUUACAAAGAAAAGUGUUUCUUGGAGUUUAAAUCACUGGGUUCAGAUUCCUUAUACAAAAAGGGAGUUCCGGUCACUUGUUUCUUUUCAUCGCAUUGGGGAUUUAACAUAUAGUUAUUUCCUGAACCGGUUUUGUACAGAUGCUUCCCAUUAAUGGGUUCAAACACUAAAUCCCUCUCACUGAUGCAUCUUGCAAUGGCUUGUGCCUCUCACCUAGCAUUUGCCAUUCAAGGUGAUCUUUAACCUUGGAUUACCCGUCAAAAGCUCGCAAGAGAUAACUAAUGGAUGUCUCCGUGGAGUCCAAAAGCUUACCAAGUGUUGGCUGUUCACUCCAAGAAAAAGGCCUUUCGUUGACAGUUUUUCACCAUCAAGGUAAGGUAUAUCUGUCAAGGUAUAUUAUAAUUUAUAUAUGUCAUCUAUGCCAGUGUCAAGAAAAGUUUAAAUCUACCUUAACAUUUACAUAUGUCAAGGUUGUUUCUAUUUUUACCAAUGAUGGAAUAUUUGUUAGUAUGACAUAUGUUAAUGUUUCUUUCACUUUUGUCAAGGUUGGAUUCAACAUAUGUCAAGAUUUCUUGAUCUUACGUCAAUUUUAACUUGCUCUUCUAUUAAGGUUGCUGCAACAAAUGUUAAGGAUAAGUAUAAUAUGUCAAGGUUUCUAACUAUUGCAAUGUCAAUGUUGGGCAUUGGCCAUCUGUGUUGCCUAUGACAAAUUUAAAAUUAUUUUACUAUGAUUUUUAGUUUUAAUGGAAAAUGAACCUGUUACCAUAUGAAACUUGUUUCCAAAUUAAAUUUGAUACAUAUUUAAUUAUGAUAAUAAUAAAUAAGUCCUAAAACAAUGUAAAUAAACUAUUACUCAAGGAAAAAAAUUAUUAUAUAUACAUUUGAAUAUUAAAAACACAAUGGAAUAAAUCUUUUUCUACUUAAUCUUUCUUUUCUAUAUACAAAAAAAAAAAAAAAAAACUAAUUGCAAACAUUCAAUUAAGAUAAUAUAUAAACUUAAAUUGAAAACUACAAUACUAUCUUCACAAGAGAUGGUCACUAAUUCUUCAUCAUCUUCUUCUUUUUGCUAUAUUUCUUGAAUACCUAGUAGGAUAGACACAACAUUAAUAGAAAAGUAAGCAACAAGUAUCAAAAUAACAAUUUUCAAAUCAUAAGGUACUUUCAAUUGCAAGAAUACAUCAAACAUAUAUGCAAUUUGUAGAUACCAUAUCUCUAGCAUUAAUCUUCAAGCAUUGCCCUCUGGAAAGACCCCAAAAUUGUCAGCACCUCUAUCUCAAACCUAUGAUAGAAAAAACAAAUGAUGUUAACAAAAAAAAAAGCUCAAAUUGAGAAAUUAGAUAUCUAACUACAAUGAAAUAUUUUUAAGAUUGAAUUCUAAGUUUAAUUAUUGUGUUUUUAUAUAAUGGACCUAAAUAACUAUAAAAUUAUACUUCUUUUUAAUUUCUAAAAGGAAUGCAAAAAGGAAAAGAGAAAACAAAAGUUUCAAAUAUAUCUUUCAUGUUAUUUUGGCUUCUAAAUAGAUAAAAACUCACAUUAUCUAAGAAAUCGUUAAAAUUAAAAUUGAGCAUAAAUUUUAAUAAUCUCAAUCAUAAAUAAUGAAAUAUCUAAAUUCAAAUUCAUAGAAACCACACUAACUAUUAAUUUCAAGCACCAAAUGCAUCUAAACUUAACAAAAUAAAAAAUCAAGGAUAUUUUCCUUCAAUUCUAAUAAGAUAAUAGAUCUUAUGUGUGCAAAUUUUGUCUUUAUUUCAAGAACUAAUAAAUGCACAAGCUGUCUAGUUGAGAGAUUAAAUCUAUAAAUUUUUAAAAGAAAUAAAUUAAUUAAAUAAACAAAAAAGGUCUAAGAAAUGGAAAAUCUCCAAAAUUAAAGAGAAAAUCAAGCACAUUUCAUAAAUGGGAAAAAGUUAUGCAAUAUGCUGCUAUUCUUUUUCAACUAAUGUGAAAUUGAAAACAUAUUUGACACAAAGUUGUGUGAGAAUACAUCUAUAAGGUUCAUAGAAAUAAUGUGUAGAUUACCAUUUAAAGCUAUGUAAACUAAGAAUGACAAAUAGCAAAUUAUAUUAUUUAUAUCUAUCAUGCCUUCUUAAAAUACAAUGUCAAAUAUUCCAUAGAUAGACAACUAUGCAUGAGUAUGAAAAUGUUGUCUAGAUGUUCCUCUCAUAGGCAGCUAAUGCAUGAGUUCAUCAAAUUCAAAACUUAACAACAAUUAAAGCUGACAAACCACCCAAUUAUCAAUUAUUAAAGAACUCUUAAUCCGAGCAAAAACUAAAACUAAUAAAGCAACUAAUAACAAAUAUAAAAGUUGCAUUGGCACCCAAUAUAAUGUUCAUCCUAAUGUAAUUGUGCUCAUUAAAACAAAAAAUUUCAUGGCAUAAAUUAAAUGAAGAGACCCCAUAUAAGCAACAAGAAAAUACUUCAUACCAUUACAGUGGUAAUUAAGGACUACAUAAAUAAUUUUAGUUGGCUUGUGACUAUGAAUUGAAGAAUUAAAAUUUUGUGAGGGUUGAUUUAUUGCUUAUCAACCAAAUAGCAUAUCAACAUUUAACAAAAGAAAGAGUUUCAAACAAUCAUGAUUUAGAACAUUAAAAUUCAGCCCUAAAAAAAAUAAAAAAAAAAACAAAGAGAAAGAACCAAACUAAAGGAGCCCAAGUAAAAAUUCAAGUGCAUAAAUAAGUAAAUUAAAUAGUUAACCAUAUUAAGGAGAAAACCAUGUCACAUUAUGCAAAUUGUUUUUGUGUGCCCAAAUAUACAGUUCUGUUUCUUUAUAUUGCAUUAAAAGUCCAAUGAUAUCGAUAUACAACUGCAAAGGAAAUAGUAGAGAUAAAAUUUGAAGGAAAUUUACUCAUAAUUAUUUUGAUUAACACAUCCAAAUAUUAUGGAUCAACAAAGAAAUCAAUUUAAAGAAAACAAAACAUCAGCCUUUACGAGCAUAAAAUGAAAUAGGAAUAUAUCCAAAACCCUUGGACCUUUAACCCAUUGAGCUACAUAGGAGGAACCUUAUCUGACCCUACAUUUCACAUUUGACAGCCAUCAGUUUUUUAAACAAUUAUAAUUUUUUUUAUUUAUUUUACAUCCAUUAUUUAAUUCAAUACAAAUAAAAGAGCAAGAAAAAUAGGUUGAACAGAAAGAGAAGAGGGAAAGAUUUUGGGUGAGAGGCCUUGGAGAAGAUGAAACAAGAGUGCCGAUUUUUUUUUCUUGGCAUCCAAACACAUCUUGCAGAGGCAAAAAGUUGGAAAAACUGACCUGGGGUUGUCUUAUUUUCUAGGGAAAAUGGGUUUUUUUUUUCCAGAAAAUUUGCUUAUUUUUCUACAUUUUUGCUACUAUGUAAUGGACUCUUUUCCUUGUAGUUCUUUUUCUAAUCUUUGGAGCUUCAUUCACUUAUUUUUGUUUGAGAUUUCGCUGAUGGGUCAUUGUUUAUUUGUUGAAAUGCAGAGUAAUUAUAGAUAUUUUUGAAGGAUUUUCUUUGAUCUUGAGGUGAUUGGAAGAACGUUUUCUUGGAGUUUGUAGUAUUUUUUUUUACCUUUAGAUUUUCUAGCAUUUUCUUGAGAAAAUCGAGAUGGGUGUUGUUAAUGUGGUGUCAUUUUUGUUGCAGAGAUACAGAAAUGGAUAAGGAAGGGAAUAAUCAGAAAUGGUGUAGAGGUUUGGAACCCGACUUUCUAUUGAGGUGGGGAAACAGGAAAAGACUUAGAUGCGUGAAAGUCAAAGAUGGAAGAAAUAAAUCAGACUGUUUAGGUAGCAAGAAAAUCACCUCUCGUGUUGAUCGCUGUGUUAUCACUGCCGAGAAAGAGACUCCCUAUCCACAAACCCAUUGUCUGAAUAGAUAAUGAUGACCAUAGGUGGUGCAUGAAGAGAAGGUGUGGUGGAGCUAAUAUGGGCGGCGACAAGUGGCUGUCAACGGUGGGCGAUGAGAAUGGUGGCAGAAGGGGUCGCCGUAGUAGGAUCGUGGAUAUGGUGUGCAGCCGACUGUGGUUGGCGUAACCGAUUGUGGUUGGUCCAGCCGGCGAUGACGACGAGGGAAGGCAUGGUGAAGAUGGGAAGGUGAAAGAGUGAGAAAGGAAAAAAAAUGGAGAGAGGGAGAUGGGUAAGUGGCAUGGGUAUGGAGAGAGAACGGGAAAGAAAUAGGAAGGAGGAAAGAAGAAAAAUAGAGAAGGAAUGGAGAGUGGCGGUGGCAGAGAAGUGGGAAAGAAAAAUGUGAUCUCUUAGGGUUCUUUGAAAUGAAUGGUAGAGAUGAGAUUAAAAAAUAAACGGUUCAGAUUUCACCAACAUUAAUCUUAUCACACCAAAAUUUAAGUUCUUAUUCUAUUAGUUAACUUUAUGAGAAUCAAUUUAUGGAAUAUAUUUAUAACUUUUAUAAUGUCAAUUUACCAUAAUUAAUUUUCUUCUUUCCUAAUGUCUAAAUUUGUAUGAGUUAACUUAAAAAAUAAAAUUUUGAAACCUAAUAUUAUGCCCGACAAUUUAUAAAUCAAAAUUUCAAAUAUCUUAAUUAUUUUUAAAUCAAAUACAAGUUAAUUACUAAUUUAAAAAUAAUGAAAAAUAGUUUAUGAAAAAAACCAUAAUGUAGAAAAUUUUAUUUCACUAAAAUUAGUGAAUAAAAAAUGAUUUAUAAAAAUUUAUUUCAUUGCUAUUGAUAUAGACUAAAAAAAAAAUUAAUCAAUUUGAUAAAAAAAAAUGAAACUUAUAUUAACAUUACUUAAAAAAAAAAAAUUAAAUAAACAUUGACUUCCUUAAUCAAAAUUGAUUGUUGUCACUUCAAUUUAUAAUACUUAGUAAGUAAAUUAGAUAUACACAUAUCAAACAAAUUAUUAUCAUUAUUACUUUUAUUUAAGUACCUUGACAUAUGAACAUACUAACUAUACAUUGACUCAUAAAUUAUCUAUCAAGAUUCUAUCAUAUAAGUCAUGAAAGAAUUCAACAAAUUUUAUAUAUGUCAUUAUUGGUUUAAACAAGUUUUAUAUGUCAUAGUUGUUCAUUUAAAUAGGUAAUAUUGACACAUAUCACCUUAAGUCAAGAUAAUAUAUGUCAACAAUGACCUUUUUUCUAGUAGUGAUUCUAGAAAAUCCUACCUUCAAACCACCUCCUAAAGGCUCGUAAGAGAUAAACUAAUGCAUCUCUAUGGAUGGAGAUCACUUGCCUUACCAAGUGUUGGCCCAGGUGAUUUAAAGGCGUUUUAAGUUAACUAAAAAGAUAAAAACCAUUAACGUUCACACUUUCUCUUCAUUAAAAACUAAAACAACAAAAUUUCCAAUUUAUGCAUGUGGAAACUUACCCAGCUUUCUUCACUCCAAGAGACGAAGAGCCUAUCUUCUCAUCCUCUGAGGAAAAAUCCUUAGAGUUUGAUUGGUUAGAAAGAAAACUAACGAGAAAACAAAAAUAUAUAUGAAAAGCAGAGCAAGUGCUUUGUAUUUUACUUCCUUCCCAAAACUGUACAAAGGAUGCGUCUCUGGGAACAAGCUCCCGAGAGAUCUACCUCAUUUUCUAAAGAAAAUUACAAACUAUAUAUAAGAGGUUAUUCACCCCUUUUUCCAAACUUAAUAACUAAGGAAUCCUAUAAUUGGUAGGUUACAAGGAGAUUUUGGGGAUUUAGACAACAAAUAUCUAAAGCAAAAUAUCUCAAAAUAUCCCAAAAUGUCGGUUGCAAAUAUCUGGAAGCUUCAGGAGAACACCGCGGCACUGUGCAGAAAAAUAUCUCAAAAUGUCGGUCGGACAUAUCGGGAAGCUUCAGGAAAACAUCGCGGCACUGUGCAAAAUGGCUGCGAAACUCUCUGGGUAAGCGCUAUCAGAGGGUCCGGAUAUGUCUGACUGGGGAAGUUGAAACGCCUCAUCUCCCAUCCCACGUCAGGCACCGGAUGCGAAAUAUCCGGAGAAGGUGUGUGCCGGAUGUGAGACAUUCGGGUGGAAUGGCGGCGGAGCAGCUCCAUCCGGAUUCUCUAAGAGGAUAUGUGGCGCGCUCCCUCUAUCCGGACUCCCUCAUGGAGAAACACACGGCACUCGCGAUCAUCACACCCGGACGAUAGCAUAUCCUAUUCGGAUAUAUUGUCCGGAUGAAAAAGACAGCCGGCCACAUCUCACGCGGCACUCCGAUGGUGUGUCCGGACGCCCUGUGCCUUGCCAUGGAUUCCAAAGAACUCUCCUCAAUCUUGGAUUGCUUUGGUGAUCAAAAAGCUAUCAAAACACCAAAACUUAACACAAUUUGAUUAGAAUUGAUUGCAAGGGUCCUUAAUAUGUUAAUUGGGUUAAAAGGUGGUAACUACUACUCAAAAGUGUUUAAAAGAGUUAAUUACAAGCUAUGAAAUAACACUUUUUGAGUAGUAAUCAACGAGUUAUCAGGACAGAUCGGAUCCCUAGUUGUUAUACUGGGGCAUAUUUCCCUCAUUUAGCUGUAGAGAUGAUUGUUUUCUCACAGACCUGUUACAGUCCUCAUUACUCAACCGAGAUAUAUUUAUCUGCACUACUAGUCAUUGUUUCGAUGAUUCUUGUCGAGAGAGCCCUCAGCGAAGCACAACAUUUGAGUUUCGAUUGUCCCACUAUCCAUGACUCUUCAGUAGAUUGUUGUGUCGAGAUAGUGGUGGUUACCCUAAAGGACUAUUCUCUUGAGACUCCUUAGAGGAUCACCCAUUUGAGAUGACGAUGGAUUACCCCAGCAGAGUAUUUCGAGUUAAAGGAGUUCGACUUAUUGCGACACUUCAUCAAACAUUGUGAUAUAAUUGGAUGGGUUGGGAUACUACAUUUGUAGUCGAUUUGAUCAUUUCGAUUUGCUAGCGAACAUAUUUUGAGACUCAUGGAGUCUCUUUCAAACCCUUCCAGUGGAUUGAGAGUUGUGGCGGCAUGCUACAUUGGGGCAUAUUUCCUCCUCAUCAUAUUCUCAUAUUUUCAGUUUGGCGUUUAGAGCCACCAUGUCUUCUCAAUUGCGACGUUCAGAGUCGUCUCUCUCGACUUGACAUUCAUAGAUAUUGUUUCAGUUUGGUAUUCAGAGCCACUAUGUCUUUUCGAUUACGACGUUCAAAGUCAUCUUUCUCAGCUUGAUAUUCAUAGUUAUCAGUUUAGUUUGGCAUUCAGAGUCGUUGUUUUCGCUUGGCAUUCAUAACUAUUACUUUUAGUUUGGCAUUCAGAGCUACCGUCUCUUCACAGUUUGGCAUUCAGGAUCAUCAUAUCAUCUUUAGUUUGGCGUUCAAAACCACCAUCUCUUUUUAGUUUGGCAUUCAGAGCAGUAUUUUUCAUUUUGGCAUUUGAUGACACCAUCUUUCUUUAGUUUUGGCAUUCAAAGUCGUUGUUUUAGUUUGUCGUUCGGAGCCGUGGUUUUAGUUCAAUAUUCAUAGCCAUCAUACAUUUAUUUCUGUUUACCGUUUAGAGCCACAUUUUCAUUUCGGCAUUCAGAGCUACUUUUUCAGUUUGGCAUUUAGAGCCGUUGUUUCAUUUUGGCGUUCAGAGCCAUUAUUUUUUUUUAGUGCAGCAUUCAUAACCAUCAUACCUUUUUUUCGGUUGGCGUUCAGAGCCGCAUCUUCAUUUUGGCGUUCAGAGCCACAUCUUCAUCUUGGCGUUUAGAACCAUAUCUUCAGCUUGGCGUUCAGAGUCGUUGUUUGCCUUUAGUUCGACAUCUAGAUCCAUUUUUUCGUUUAGCAUUCAGACCCGUUGUUCAUUUUAGAUUAGCGUUCAGAGCCAUUAUUCAUUAUUGACAUUCAGAGCCACCACAUUGUUCCGUUUAAUGUUCAGAGUCGCGUCUUCAUUUUAACAUUCAGAGCCAUUGUUCAGUUUGGCGUUCAAAGCCACAUUUUUUUUCAUUUGACGUUGAGAGCCACAUCUUCAUUUCAGUAUUUAGAGCCAUUGUUUGUCUUCAGUUCAGCAUUCAGAGCCAUUAUUCAUUAUUGACAUUCAGAGCCACCACAUUGUUCCGUUUGGCGCUUAGAGUCGCGUCUUCAUUUUGGCAUUCAGUGUCACCAUUUUUUGUUUAGUUUUGGCGUUCAUAAUCAUUUUCAUACCCAUUCAAGCAUUCAAUGCCACCAUUUUUCUUUAGUUUCAACAUUCAGAGUCGUUCUGCAUACUCAUUCAGGCAUUCGAUACCACCAUCUUUCUUUAGUUUUGGCAUUCAGAGCCGUUGUGCAUACUCAUACAGGCACUUAGAGUCACCAUCUUUCUUUCUUUUGACGUUCAGAGUCAUUUCUCCUCAACUUUGUCAUUUAGAGUCAUAGUUCUUGAAAUUCAUAUCCACUAGCAGUGCACAUCUGACCUUCAGGGUUUUGCAUUCACCAUCAUUUUCCUCACCUUGUUACCUUGUGCUUAUCACCUAUUCACCAUGUUAUUCUAGAUUUCCCUUUCCACUGCACAUGACAUAGUCCUUUGAGUUCAUAACACAUAUUUCGGUCAUGUUGUUAGGCACCCUACACUUAGCAUUCUCAUAUGGUUCACAUAGGGCAGUCUCCUUGGGGCACACUCUUUCUUGUACUCCAAGGUGGUUCGACCGUUACUCAUCUUCGAUAUGGUUUUUCAAGUCACCUUUGGAGACAUCUUAGAAAGAGUCUAGAUCCUUAGUGUGGCUUCAGAGGCACUUUGAAAGAUCCAUUUUUUCUCUUAGGAUUAGAGUCUUUUUGUUCACCUGUUGGCCUGAGUGAGUUCGUGUUUCACUAGUGUCCCUUUGGGGGUCUCCUUUGUUCUUCAGUAGAGUUCACUUCAUUCCACUUACUAUUCACAAUUUCUUUUCACUUCAGUGUUCAUAUUCUUUACACUCGUGAGCUCUACCGAAGAGGGGCAUAUUUGUAGACCCCCAUUUGGGGCUCAUUUUCAUGCAACCCAUUUUUUGCCAGGUGCUAGGAUUGGAGGCGACCACAUGUCGCCUUGUGGUUAGCCAUCAGGGAAUCACAAUGGUGGAUUGAAGAAGCAAUAGGGUAGUGACAUGUGUCAAGGAAUAUCUGGUAGAGGAGCGUAUUCCAUUAGAAGGAGAAGGCUUAUUUGGUUGUUGAAGGUGAGAUAUUUUAGGCAGGACAUAGAGGGAUGGAUGUCAAGGUUUUUCUUAAGGAACAAGCGAGGGAAAAAAAGGACAGGGGGAGUUUUUGUUGGAGCUUAGGGAUAAAGUUUUCUCUAGUUAUGGCUUGACAAAGAAACCUACUGAGAUAGCUAAAACUGAGAAGCAGAGUUUUCUGGGCUGGUUCUUAGAAAGGAAAAGGAGCUCAAGGACAAUUAAAUCUGGUUCGAAGCGACACUCCAGGUAUGUUCAUUGUGAGUCAUGUAUUUUAUCAUUUUGGAUGCUAUUCUGUUGAAUGUUUUUGGGUCGUUUAUGCACUUUUGCCACUGAUUCACCCUUUGUUUCAUUAAUUUAGUUUGAAAAACCGGUGAGGAUUUGUAUCAUGUCCACUGUGGAAAAUCUCUAAUUGUUGGCUGCACUUUUCCUUUGAAUCGGUUUGUUUCUUUCUUUGUUUCCACUAGUGGGAGCCCAUUAAUCGAUCUUGAGAGGUGGUUUCAUUUGAUUUUUAUUUUGCAUGUUCGUUUUUUUUAGCUUUCACUGUUUUUCUUUCUCCAUUACUCAUUUUUUUGCUAAUUUUUCCCACUUUUUGGUAACGGUUUCACAAAUGUUUUAUAUGAGUUGAGAUUUUGGGAAGACAAAAAUGGGUAAGCUCUGUGUUAGAAGAAGCUCAAGGGAAAUUCCAAUGAGAAGAAUAGUACGCUGCGUUGUCUAUUAUUUCAACUAAGAUCUAAAUAGAUUGUAAAGUCAGCUGACUUUUUUAGUACUGAAAUUGGGAAUGCAUUGAUGAGAUGCUUGUUGUAGAAAUAAUGGACAUUCUUCUUAAUGUUGCCGUCUACACAUAAACUUAUUCUUUGAAGGGUGUCACUGUUUUGGCUUUGUUCACUGAGUAGAUCAUUGUGUUUCUUCAUUUGGGUUUUGUUUCUAGAUUGGAACCCUAGUCUUUGUUACUAUGAAGAAGCUUGUGAAGCUUAUUACCAUGGCUUCUCUGUUUCUGCAAAUGCUGCUUAUUUCCUUCUCUUUUGCUUUUUCCAGCCACGACUAUGACUAAUCUUUGACCAAGGCCAUUCUCUUCUUUGAAGCUCAAAGAUCUAGGUAUCUUCAUAGUAACCAGAGAAUGAAGUGGAGAGUUGAUUCUGGUUUACAUGAUGGAAAGGCCAGUGGGGUGGAUCUGGUGAGAAGAUAUUAUGAUGCAGGUGACAAUGUGAAGUUUGGCCUACCCAUCACAUUCACCAUUACAAUGAUGUCAUGGAUCAUAGUGGAGUAUGGGAAGCAAAUGAGUGCAAAUGGAGAGCUGGGUCAUGCCAUGGAAGCAGUGAAGUGAGGCAUUGACUACCUCAUUAAAGCUCACCCCUACUCUUAUGUCUUCUACGGAGAGGUGGGAGAUGGAAAUUCUGAUCAUUUCUAUUGGUAAAAGCCAGAGGGCAUGCCCAUAGCUAAUACCCAUCUCACUACAUCCUUUCAUCUUUCCAUACCUCCACCACUCAUUUCUCACUAACCUCUACCACCCAUUUCACUAAUCCCAUGUCCAUAUCCUCCUACACCAUUCAUACCCAUUUUCUAAUUCCACUAUCAAACCUAUUUCUCUCCCAACCUUCCACUUAUUUUACACCCACCGAACCUCUCAUACCCAUUUCUCACACCACUCAUGGCUCCAUCUAACACUAAUCCUUACACGCGUGGCCACCCUCAUUCUUCAACUUUGCUUAUCCAUGAAACCCAUCCAUCAAGCCUACCCAUCUAACCCAUUUCUCACACUACCCAUAACCCUAUCCAAAACCACUUAUAUCCAUCAUCUUUCAUGUCUGCCAUGUCUCGAUUUCAUUACCAAACCUAUCACCCCCACCCUCCAUCUAACCACACCCUUAAACCCACUUCUUUCUCUAAGUUAUUUUCUCAUAUCCAUUUAAAACGUAACCACCUUCAAUGGUCAUUACAUAAUCAUCCCACUGUAUCCAACCCAUGACCCGAUUUCUCUGUCAUCUUUUCCACUCCCCUAUUUGUGUGACAUGGACGACAUUUUCCAGCAUUGACAUAAAGGAAUGAUGGCACUUCAACUAGUGUGUUUAGUGUAACCCAAUCAUCUUUCCUAUUGCCUUCCACAACUGUAUUUGAUGCUCCAUCACCACCGGCUUUUGAAAAGUUUAAUGAUAGCUUUUGGAGCUACUUUUACUCUUGAUUUUGAUAGCUUGUCAUUGUCAUUUGGCACACCUUCGGUGUUUAGGCAACAACCUGAUUUUAGGAGUCUUGGGUCAUCUCCUACUCAAACAAAUCCUUUUAGAGGGAGGUUCGGAAGAGGAACCUUUUAAGGCGCACUACAGUAGAUUUCCAGCACUUGGACAGAGGAUUUGAUCAUAUGCAUGGCGAAGAUCCUUUACCAAAAUCCAAUUACAUGGGAACGGCUAGGCAUAAUGUUGAGCCAUUGAUUGAGAGGUGCCAAUAGAUAUGUUCAAUCUCAUAAUACAAGAUGUGGUUUUCCACCUUGCGGCUCUUCAAGACACAGCGCACCUGGCUACAGGAAUGGUCCAGCCAAUAAUGAAAUAAGAUAUGCUGGUUGUAGUCGUUGCAGUGAAGCCGAUCCUCGACAUGGAGACACUGCUGGUGCACCCUACAGAAACCCAAAUACCCCACCUACGUGCAUGAAUUUGGCCAUGUCAGAUGUCUCGUCUUAGAGAAGAUAGUCGCAUCCUAUGAACUCCUAUGUAAAUAUAAGAGUUUUGGGUUUUUGGAUACAUAUCCUCAUUACGACAAGCUAAAGCGUGAAUCUCAGUGUGCUUAUGGACCCUAUUGCUGCCCCUAUGUUGGACCAGAAUGCAGAGUUAUUAGUGACAUUCCUUGUUUGGCAACUCACUUAAAAGAUGAUUGAAACUGGGUCGAAGCUAAACACUGACAGCUAUGCAAGAACAUUGGGUUUCUUGAUUUUGGUGUCUUUAGCUCUCGUCUGUUCUGGUUGUCAGGUCUAUCCUUAGACAAUUUUCACGUCAAUACAAUGCUUGCUUUGAUAGGAGUGUUCUUCUUUUGAUAUUGUGCUCGAGAUCGGAGGAGCCACUACUUCGAUUUCACUAUCUGAAAUCAAUGGACCUAAGAUCAAUGUUCCCAAAAAUCAGUGUUGCAAUCCCUCCAAACCUUAGAAUAUGAUGCAAAGAUUAUUUUCGGGAUUGUUGUUCCUAUCAUCUGGAGGCUCAAAACCAAGGCAACUUUGAACGCAGCUGUGUCCUAUCAAGAUUCAUGUUCUAUAUAGAUGGUUUUGGGAAGUUGAUUUCUCAAGCUAGGUGUUGGAGGAUGUGAAAUCGAGUUUCUUGGAACACAAGACUAUGAUGGAUGUUUCGAUCAAUGACUCAGAGUAUCAUUCCAAUUAUCUGAGAAUGUUGCAGAUUGAUAUCUUGACGGGUAAAGGAAGAGUGGUUGCUUGUGUUGAUGUGAAUGAGAGGUGUUUCUUUCUGAAAUUAUUCGAUAGUGAAGAGGUUGCUAACGGAUUGGAAAAUCUGAAUAUGAAGAGUAAAAUAAGAUUCGGUGAACACUUUGGAAAGAUGAAGAUAGAGAGAUUGGAAUCUCAGGAAGAAAUCGAAGAAAAUUCUUCAAUUAAUUGAGAAGUUGCGUCAAGACGGUGAAAUUCAAAUGAUCAAGAAGAUGCAUCAAAACAACAUUGUAUUCAAAUAACAUGUGAUUAAGAGACAUGUAAGUGGCCGAACGCAAAAUUGAUAAAAAAAAGAAACAAAUUGUAUGUAAUGACCAAUAAGGUCUUUUUUGUCUCGGUUAAAAGACACGAAACCAGCUGUGAGAGCCACUACAAUUCAUUAGUGUAUGUAGAAGGGUCCUCUGGAAAAAAACUCAAUGGAAUGUUUUUCAUGAGCAGAUGGAGAGGACAAAGGCUGCCCAAAGACUUGCAAUACCACAUUCUCUUAGCAUUGGGAAGUCAAAUUACAUAACACAAUCUUUAACAGCAACUAGAGAAUGAGGCUCGCAUUUGAGAAAUUGAGGAAUGGUGGUACGACAAUGUAAGAUCUAUUAAAGAUAUUCAAGCCAAACUGUUAAAAGUGCAGGAGGCAUCAGCUAAGCGUGAGAGAAUCAUGGCCCAUGCUUUGGCUCAUAAGUGGUAGGUUGGAUCAAGGUGAUAGGCUGCCCCCUCUGUGUUUGAACUAGAUAAAAGCUGUUGGAAGUGGGAGCUAGUUGGAAUGAUGGAUGGUUGGUUGUCCAUGUGAUAACCGGAUUUUGGACAUAAAUUUGAAAUAUGGAAUGAUGAUUCUUGAAAAUAGGUUGGCUGUAGGAAAGAGAAGUUACAGGAGAACACACUUUUUGCAUGGCCACCUUUGGCAUGCAGCUCUAUUAGCAGCAUGGCUUUCUUUCACUUUUUUUAGUCUUUGAUUUUAAAAAUCAUUCCCCAAACCCUAGUUUUCAAAGUAGUUUUCCAAGUUCUAGUUUUCAAAUAAUUUCAAGUCUCCAAAUUCUUCAUCCUUAGAUAUUUUUUUUAGGGUCCCAAAAGUCCCGUUUUUAAUAAAAACUACUGUCAUUUUCUUCGGCAUGCAAUUUUCAUAAUUUCCAUGAUUUUUAAAAAUGUUUUAAAUAAACAUGAAUUUAAUUUUGGAAUUCCAAAUGAUGGAAUUUAUGAAAUUAAUUUACGCAAAAAUAAAUUGGGUAUUGGUGGGGAUCCAACAUCAGAGAAGCUUUAUUUAAAAAUAAAUUUGAGUGAAGUGUGGUGUGAUAUCCGAUGACUUCUUACUCUGUUUAGUGGCAUGUGUGACAUACAUUGUGUUCAUAUUUGCGCACCAACCCCAUUUCCUGAUAGUGCAUUGUCAUUUGCUGCCAAGGUACGCACUCGCUCUCACUCUGGUCAUUCUUUAUGUAUGUUUUGAUUUCCAUAUGUGUAUGAUCAUUUUGGGUAUCUAUGUUUAAUCAAUCCAUUGCCAUGAUUGCUUCAUUUUACUAGUAGAGGGGUGCUACGGUCUUUACUGUACCUUUCCAAUAAGUAACCUGACCCCCAAACUCAUAUUUGGUUUUUCAUGGACCACAUUUUCCAAACAAAGAGUCACACUUAGGGUUUUUUUUCUUAUUUUGUUUACCCUUUAAAAAUAAAACAAAAAUAAGUGGCGACUCCAAGUCAUUUUCUUAAUCAGUAAAUCAUUUUCAAAUAAAAAAUGAAUUCGCCAUUGAGUGGAAGCGCAUGAGCAGAAAUGUAGGGUCCACAACUUGUCUUGUGAGAAGAAACCUAAAUACGCCCACAACUUUAAGGCAGGAGCCAUGAAUGCCUUGGUAAGCUAUACAGAUUUGCAACGACAUAUGGACAGAUGCAUUGAUGAAUUGAAGUGUGUUUUAUGAUCAUCUUGAAUGAAUAGAUAAGGGUGUCAUGAAGAAUAAGCAAUGGUGGGAUUAUUCUUAAUGUGGACUGUGACAUGUACUCGAACAAUUCCGAAUUGGUGAAAGAUGCUUUGUGUUUCUUCAUGGAUGAAGAGACAAGCCAUGAGAUUACCUAUGUAUAGUUUCCACAAUGCUUCAACAACAUCACAAAGAAUGACUUAUAUGCUAGCUCCUUAAAUGUUAUCAUGGAGGUGGGCAUUUACCCAGAGCAUAAAUAAUUUUAAGUUUUAACCCAUUGAAAGAAUUAUAACACUAGCUACUCUUCUAUGUAAAAUUUCUAUGAUCAAGGUAGAGCUAACAGGUUUUGAUAGCAAUGGAGGGCCUUGCUAUAUUGGCACUGGGUGCUUUCACAAGAGAGAGACUCUUUGUGAGAAGAAGUAUGAUAUGGAAUGUGAGAGAGAGUAAACAACAAGAAACAAUGACGGAAAGAUAGAAGAAAGUGCAAGUGUACUAGAAAAAACAUGUAAAGUUCUUGCAAGUUGCAGCUAUGAAAAUAACACUCAGUAGGGAAAGGAGGUUUCUCUCUUUCUCUCUCUCUCUCACACACACACACACACUCCUUAAGUCACACACACAGAUAUGUAACCUCAUAUCUAUUCAUUUUCAGAUGGGCUUGAAGUAUGGUUGUCCAAUGGAAGAUGUCCUGACAGGGCUAUCAAUACAAUGCAGAGGUUGGAAAUCAAUCUAUUUCACUCCCGAAAGGAAAGUGUUCCUUGGCGUUGCACCAACCACACUACUGCAAUCACUGAUACCACAUAAAAGAUGGAGUGAAGGUGAUUUUUAGAUAUUCCUCUCAAGUUACUGUCCCUUCACAUAUGUGCAUAAAAUGAUUCCCUUUAAACUUCAAAUUUCCUACUGUAUCUUCUUGUUAUGGGCCCCAAACUGCUUGCCUAUUCUAUACUAUGUCGCCAUACCAUCGCUUUGUCUCCUCAAAGGUAUCUCAUUGUUUCCAAAGGUAUAAGCCUCAAGUUAUUAAACAGAUGCUACAUAAUUUGAUUGUUAAGAAUUUGACCAUCUUGUGCCUCAAAUUUCAAGCCUAUGGAUCCUACCUUUUGCAUAUGUCAUGAGCAGCAGCUGUGCAUACAGCUUGGGCGAGUUUAUUUGGUGUGGUGGUACUCUCCUAGGUUGGUGGAAUGAUCAAAGGAUGUGGGUGUUUAAGAGAACAACUUCCUACUUCUUUGGCUUUUCAGAAACCAUAUUGAAGCAGUUAGGAUUUUCUAGGUCUUCUUUUGUAGUCACUUCCAAGGUGGCAGAUGAAGAAGAAUCUAAGAGGUUUGAGCAAGAGGUCAUGGAGUUCGGUGCCCUUUCACCAAUGUUCACCAUUUUAGCCACGCUAGCUUUGCUCAACCUGUUCACUUUUGUUGGAGGAAUAAAGAUGAUGAUUAUUGAUAUGCAAGCUCAAGUUUUAGACUUUCUCUUAUUGCAGAUUCUUCUAUGUGGGGUUUUGGUUCUCAUGAACCUCCUAGUAUACCAUGGCCUCUUCUUCCGAAAGGACGUGACCAGAAUGCCCUGCUCUAUCACAUAUCAAUCAAUUGCCUUCGCUCUACUGGCUUGUUCACUAGCCUUAUAUUAGAACAUUAUGCAAAGCAACUUAAAUUUCUACUUAAAACUUUGCAUCAAGUAAUACUUUGCAGAUGUUUUUCUAUGAAUUCACUCUAUACCAAGUAAUAUAUUCUAGGAAAGGAACUUUCUAUUUUUCAUGGUAAGAAUAUGAUCAUUGCAUAACCUAUCUCUUUUAUACAACAUCUAGCUGAGAAACCUUUUUUAAAUUAAAGCUACCUAUUUCUCCAUUUGUGCAUGACGUUUGUUGGUUGUAACUUUGACAACUUGUUGGCAAGAAGGAAGUUCCAAACCCCCCCCCCCCCCCCCCUCUUUCCCUUUCAAAUCCAUAAUCGUACUAAUGGGGACAAAGACGGGAAAGAUAGAAAAAUGGGUAGGUUUCAGUGUUGUUUGAAGAAACUAAAGUGCUUAAAGCAAGCCUAUUGUCACGACUUACUCAAGUGACCCUACCUUGGGCUUAUAUAGGUGAAUGAAAAGCUUCCAAAACCUUGGAGUCAUCUACUCUAGUAAAAGAGUGUAUAAGGUUCUGGAAAGACCUAAAGAUGUCCACUCAUCUCUACACAAAGGUGGAAGACAAGGAAAACAUGUGGGAUGUUCUAAAGAGUUCUAAAUAAGCCUUGUAAAUACUUGUAAAUAGUCUUUGUAUAGAGGAUUCUAGAGAAUUCUAGGAUAGUAGGGAACCUUUGUGGGCUCUAGAGAGUUCUUAAGGUGCCUGUAAAUAAGUGAUGACCUCAUUUGGCCAAGGCACCACCCAAAAACUACUCAAGAACCUAACCAACCAAGCAAGUGAGCUUUCAAAGCCUUGUAAGCAUCCUUUGAGAGCAAUAAAACUUAUAUUAUUUAAGUGUUGCUUACGGUUCUCUUAGCUUUUAAGUCGUGUGCUAUCAUCCUUGUUGGCAUUAUAGUGACUCUACUUUUAAUCUUCAAUUGAGGUACCGUCUUUUUGAACCUUCUCUCCAAUUACCCUUUUAUUAAUUCAAUCUUGAAUCACUUGGCUUGGAGUGUUCAUCACUUGGGAUGAAGUGGUUCUGGGUUUGAAUGGAUUUAGGAUGCCAUAAAUGGAUUUGGGUAUGAUGUCAUUAAGUUAAGUGACUUAUUAUGGUUAGCUUAUGGGUUGUUGUCUUAGCAAGAACAGUGAUUCCAAAGCUAGUAGGAUUGUAUAGUGGAAAUCCAUCGAUAUUAUUGGUUUGCUUGACUCUAAAUUGAAGGGAAAUCUCUUUGUUUAUUAAUUUUCAUUGAUGUAAUGCGAAAUUGGAUUGUUGUGUACUGUCUGUUUGGUUCCUAAGAAAGUGUGGGAAAAUAAGGGAAAUAACAACUUUGAAGUUUGGUUUUUUCUUUUGUAGUCACUUAGUUACCAAGAAUGAAGAAGGUUAAAUGCAAGGUUCAAUUCUUUUAUUUUAUUUUGUUUUUUUUUCUCAUGCUUUCCUGGAAGCUAAACACUGGGGUAGGGUUUUAUUAUAGUUUUGUUGAGUGUGUGUUGAGCAAGAAAUAAAAGUUUGAUUAACAAACACCUGUCUUGCUUUCUUAUUAAUGAGAGUCCAGGUUGGAUAUGAGGAGGCUAAAAAAAUUCCUAAUUUCUUGUAUGAGUGAGAUGGUUGAAAAAACCUCUUCUACUUCUUUUGUUUUGAGACUUUUUUUUAUGUGUUCGCCCUUAUGGUACUUGUAAAAUUGAAGAAUAGAUGGACGUUUUCUCUUUGUAACUUUUGAUAUGUUUUUAUUAUUUAUGCCUAGAAAUUCAUGCACGAUGAGUAUCUUGUUAAUUGUUCUGAGGCCUAAAAUAAAAUAUGUGAUUUAGCAUCUUUAUCUCCGUCAUCUUCACUGAAAUGUUUCAUAGAUACCCUGUAAUUUCUUUCACACACUACACAUGUAUUUGAAAAAAUCUUCUAAGCCAUAUGCUAUUCAACUUCAAGAUGUCCUAUAUAUGUGUAAUGUCCAAUAGUACAUGUUGGCUUCUUGGAAUGAAAGCAUGAUCUUCAUAAAAAUCAAAAUUAAUUUUUACUCCUAAUGCUACCUAAUCUUAUUGGCUAGAAGUAUAAAUGGAUUGCAGUUGGAAUUUUAAACUACAUAAUUAGGAAUUAUAUUAUCUUAGAUAAACUCAUACUUGAAUUUUUUGUUUUUCUUUCAAGUAAUUAAGUGAUGUUUUUAUCAAAAUACCAUUCACUAGGGGUUCUAACUCUAAAGACAGUGAACACAACUUGAUACGUAGGUCAAUCUUUUCCCAACUAGACUUGUUUUACCUUAGGUGGUGACUUAGAGGAGCUUUGUUGAAUCUUAAGCUUUUGAUUUGUACUCCUUCCUUUCAUAGUAUUCAAGAUAUUAUUUUUUAGGGAAUUGAAGUCAUUACUAGGUUAUUCAGUUGAGACUUGUACAUCUCAAGAAAUUUAGUAUGACUCCUAUUUUGAGUUUGUCUAGACUUUUUAAAGUGUGUGCAAAGUAAGGUAGUAUUGGAAGAUGUUGUAUGGCUAGGGGUUUAUUCUUUACCUUUAACAAAAAUAGCUUUUUUUUUUUUUUUUCCACUAGUAAGAGUUUCGACUUUAUUAAUAUACUUCAAACCUCUUUUUUCACCAUGACUUUUGCAUUUAUCAAGAAUUUCAUUAAGCAUUUAUAUGGCUGUUCCCUGCAUUCCCUGGUAAACCAUCUUUUGUAGUACUAUACUUUCAUGAUCACUCUCAAUUAAGCAAUGUUCUAGCCCUUGGUAAUCAAGAAUUUCUUCUAGCUCUGCUUGAUUUACGUGUAUUUGGGCUCAACAAGCUGACCCUCAAGUGAUUUCAUACGGCAAUUAACGCAGUACCUUCACUAAGAAUACUGGUACUGAGUUUCCUUGGACCCUACCAUGGAUCUGGCCAGAAGUUAAGUUAUUCGGAAGCAUAAGACAUUGAGUUGUAAGGAAGUGGCAUGCAGCAGAUAAAACCAUGUAUGAACUUGUGCGUGGGCAUCCAGAAAUUUACAUUCUGUUUCUGCCAAUGCAUGGUAUUGAAGUUAGAUAUAUGUUGUGUACUCUCAUUGAACAAACCAAAGCUUAACUUCUAAUUUAAUUGCAGAGAAAUUCUUAACACAAGCUGCAGCCAGCAAACACCUAAGAAAGAGGGAAAACAAAAAUGCAAGAUACCAAUUACUAUGUUUAGUCACAUACACAAACACCAUACCCGAAAUAGCAGUAAAACAUACAUGCCGUGUCUGGCCCUAGCUAGAUGGAAGAAAGAAAAGAAACAGGACUUGGAGGUACUGGGAUGUCUACAGUACCUUCCAACAUUAGGAGAACCUUCUUCAUUGAUGGACGAAGCGAUGGAUCAUCCAGGAUGCACCAAAGACCAACUUUAACCAUCAUAUCCAAUUGUCUCCUGUCCACCUCUUCAUCACCCACUAGUUUACCAAGCUCACCAGCUUCGAAACAUUGGUAGACCCAUUCUUCAAGAAUGACUUCUUCGUCCGGGAGGCUCCAGUCUACAUUCCUCCGACAACAUAUGGUCUCCAACAACACAAUUCCAUAGCUGUAAACAUCUGCUUUAACCGACACUGGCUGUUUGCGAUGCCACUCAGGCGCAACAUAGCCCCUUGUUCCUCUGAUCCCGGUAGAGGUAUUGGUCUGGUCAUGCAUCAGCAGCUUUGCUAAUCCAAAGUCAGAAAUUUUUGCACACCUAUACUCAUCCAUGAGUAUGUUUUGUGGUUUAAUAUCACAAUGUAUGAUGCAUGUUUCGCACUCUUCAUGCAGAUAGAGAAUGCCUCUUGCUACAUUGAGGGCAAUUCCCAUUCUCUCACUCCAGCGAGGUUGUUUUCCAGGUGUGAAGAGCCAAUCUGCAAGUGAUCCAUUGCUCAUGUAUUCAUAUACCAAAAGCCUGUUUGGCCCGUCAAGGCAGUAGCCCAGCAAUCUGACGAGAUUCCUGUGGUGUGUUCUCCCAAUUACUUUUAAUUCAUUCUGAAAUUCUAUUUCCCCUUCAGCCAACACCUUCUCUAGUUUCUUGACUGCUACAAUCCUCUGGCCGUUUGAUGUGGCUCCCUUAUAAACAGUCCCAGAAGCCCCCUUACCAAUCUCUUCCAUAAAACCGUUGGUAACUUUCUCAAGUUCCAUGUAGGUAAAUGAUCGCAGAGCAACGUCUUCAGUCAAUUCAACAUUCACAGUCUCUGAGAUCUUCUUGUAUGCCCAUAGAUUAUUUCUACGAAUUAGAACUCCAGAAAUGGCCAAGAUAAUGAGUGCAAAAGAUGCUAAUGAAACACUGAUAACUAGGAUGUCUGUCCGGAGCUCUUGCUUGCUUCCUGAUUACUACUCAAAACAUGCUAUUUUGUAGCUUGUUAUUAGCUCUUUUAAGCACCCUUGAGUAGUAAUUAUUACCUUUUAACUCAAUUAGCAUGUUAGGGACCCUUGCAAUCGUUUCUAAUCAAAUUGUGUUAAGUUUUGGUGCUUUUUGAUAGCUUUAUGCUCACCAAAGCAAUUUAAGAAUGAGGGAGAGCUAUAUAUAAUUCAUGGAAAAGCUUUUGGAAGCUCAAAUUUAUGAAGAAACCAAGCUUUGGAGCCUCAUAAUCCUUUGCCUUAGUCGUUUAAAGUAUGCAAGGAAAGAACAAUGGAGAAGAGGAAAACAGGGUAAGGAAAACAGAGGACACAGCUGCAGUCUUCCUUCGCACUUUUGGAGCACUUUGCGAAGUCCAUUUUUUACAUUCUAUAUACCAUUUCAAAGCUCAGAAAGUCAAGAAUUCAACGAUUCAAACCAUGUACGAUUUGGAGCUGAAAUGAGGAAGAUAGGGCCUUCGGAAGACAACUGCAUCAAGUUGAGGGACAAUUUCGCACGAUGGAAAUCAAGGUGCGAAUUCCUCAGUCCAAAGUGUGGGAAUUUCGCACACCUCAAACCAAAAUGCGAAAUUGGAACUCCAACGUGCGAAAAUUGGAUAUUUUUGCCGACUCUUUUUCUUCUGAUAUUUUUGUGUCUAAAUUUCCAUUUUCUCCUUGUAUUCAGCUACUCAUGUAAUUCCUUAGCUAGGAAGUAUCCAAGGAAGGGUAAAAUUACCUUCCUAUAUAAAUUCUCUUGUAAACACUGAAAAAACACUCUCGGGGAACUUUCUCCAGGAGACCAACUAAUGUAAAUUCUACACUUAGUGAAAUACAGAGAUCUCUUUUGCUUUCUUUUUCUCUCUACUAUUUUCUAUUUUCUUGGAAGCCAAACAGCCUCUGAGGAUGUUUUCCCAGAGGAUGAGAGGCUAAACUUAUAGUUUCUUGGAGUAAAGGAAGCUAGGUGAAAAGUCCAGAUUAAAAGGUGGAACGCUUCCGUGCAUUAAAUUCAGGUAGUUGGAAUCCAUAAAUGGUUUCUAAAUUCAAAGUUUUGCUUUAAAUCCCUUAGAAUCACUUUGACUGGCCAAUACAUGGUAAGCUUCAGGUCUCUGUGGAUGCUUAUUGCUAGAUCCAUAUCAGUCCAUUAGUUAUCAUGUACGAGUCAGUGGAAAGUGAUUCAAGGUGAUAACCUAUAGUGUUUUAAACCAUUAAUGGACCUUGACUACCCUCUCUAUUGACUUUUUAUGGAUUAAAUCUUCAUUGUCAAACCUAUACCGGUUCGGGAAAUAACUAUAGGUUAAAUCCCCAAUGCGAGGAGAAAAAUCCGGAAUUUUCCACUUUGCAUCCUGAAUUUGAACCUAGCAACCUUUAGCUCCGGGAGACUUUCUUUCUUCUAUUUUUACUUAGUUCUAUGUGAGUUUAGUUUCAAUCACCACUUUCAAAACAAUUUUAUUUUCUUUUAAAUUUCAAGUUUGUGCUAAAGGAAAUCAUCAGAAUCAAUUUCUAAUUUAGAGUCUGUCACUGAUAGAGUGAAAACCCAUCCCUGAGUUCGACCCUAGAACUGCUAUACUAUAGUAGCUUUGCUACGCCAGUAUAAGGUCAUAGGAUUUAUAAAUAUUUUUGAUUAAAAGACCCGACUGGGCACGAAUCAAAUGGCGCCGUUGCCGGGGAUGGUGCCACAAUACAGUAAUGCAACCUUUUAGAGGCUACUUGUGAUUUCCAUCACAAGUUUGGUGAAUUCCUUUUUCACUAACUUCAUUUCCUUUCAUUUUUCCUUUUGUUAAGUUUAUUUUCGUUUUCUUCCUAACUUUAACCUUUUUUCUAGUUUUCUUUUGUUUUUGUUUUUGUUGUUUUUAUUAUUAUUACAGGUAUUGUAACUUGUGCAUGCCCUAUUGGAUUAGGGACCAAGAGGGAAGAUUAGUAAGGAUUGAGAAUCCUCAAGACACAGAGUUGGAUAUCUGUGUAAACAUCAUGGACCCUCCACCAGAGGAUCAGAAUUCUCAACAAGGUCAAGGGGGUAAUCCCAAUGCAUAUCUAUCCAUGAGGGAUAGAAUGCAUCCGCCAAGGAUGAGUGCACCCUCAUGCAUCCUACCCCCUCUUGAGCAGUUGGUUAUUAGGCCCCAUAUUGUGCCCCUCCUACCAAAUUUCCAUGGAAUGGAGAGUGAGAAUCCAUAUGCUCACAUCAAGGAGUUUGAGGAGGUGUGUAAUACCUUUAGAGAGGGAGGAGCUUCAAUAGACUUGAUGAGACUCAAGCUAUUCCCUUUCACUUUGAAGGACAAGGCAAAAAUAUGGCUUAAUUCUUUAAGGCCAAGGAGCAUAAGGAAUUGGGUUGAUCUUCAGGUGGAGUUUUUGAAAAAAAAUUUCCCCACCCAUAGGACCAAUGGGUUGAAGAGACAAAUCUCAAACUUUUCUGCAAAAGAAAAUGAGAAGUUCCAUGAGUGUUGGGAAAGGUAUAUGGAGGCCAUCAAUGCUUGCCCUCAUCAUGGUUUUGAUACAUGGCUCUUAGUGAGCUAUUUUUAUGAUGGAAUGUCUUCUUCCAUGAAGCAAAUUCUUGAAACCAUGUGUGGGGGAGAUUUUAUGAGUAAGAAUCCUGAAGAAGCCAUGGACUUUUUAAGUUAUGUGGCUGAGGUGUCAAGAGGCUGGGAUGAGCCCAAUUCAAGAGAGAAAGGAAAGUUUCCCUCUCAACAAACCCAAAAUCCAAAGGCUGGAAUGUACAUGUUGAGUGAAGACGUGGACAUGAAAGCUAAAGUGGCAACAUUAGCUAGGAGGUUAGAAGAACUUGAGUUGAAAAAGAUGCAUGAAGUCCAAGCCAUUUCCGAUACUCAAGUCCAUGUCAUGCCAUGCACCAUUUGCCAAUCAUGUGAUCAUGUGGUAGAUGAGUGCCCAACCAUGCCAACAGUGAGAGAAAUGUUAGGUGAUCAAGUAAAUGUUGUGGGGCAAUUUAGGCCCAACAACAGUGCAUCCUAUGGUAACACCUAUAAUUCAAGCUGGAGAAACCACCCAAACUUUUCUUGGAAACCAAGGCCACCUCCAUACCAACCACAAAGCCAAACCCAAGCACCUCAACAAACUUCUACAGUGGAGCAAGCCAUUGUGAACCUGAGUAAAGUCAUGGGUGACUUUGUGGGUGAACAAAAGGCAAUUAACUCCCAAUUGCAUCAAAAGAUUGAAAACGUUGAGAGUUCUCAAAUUAAGAGAAUGGAGGGGAUGCAAAAUGAUCUAUCUCAGAAGAUAGAUAAUAUUCAGUACUCCAUCUCUAGACUUACCAACCUCAACACAGUGAAUGAGAAGGGAAAGUUUCCCUCUCAACCAAGCCAAAAUCCCAAGGGUGUUCAUGAAGUUGAAACCCAAGAUGGUGAGUCUUCAAAUUUGAGAGAGGUCAAAGCUGUAAUCACUUUGAGGAGUGGGAAGGAGGUUGAUCAACCCUUGCCUAACGUGGGGCAUGAUGAAGAACUCAUGUCAAAGAGACCCGUGAUUAAAGAGAGCAAUAGCCAAGAGGAGAAGAGUGGGAAGAAAAUUGCAUCCAAAUCAAGCAUUGAAGAAGAACCAAGGAUAGUGAUUAAGGAGGAUAUGAUGAAGAAACAUAUGCCUCCCCCUUUUCCUCAAGCUUUACAUGGAAAGAAAGAAAUCAAGAAUUCAUCAGAAAUUCUUGAGGUUCUGAGACAAGUGAAGGUGAAUAUACCCUUACUUGAUAUGAUCAAGCAAGUUCCCACAUAUGCAAAGUUUCUAAAGGACUUGUGCACAGUCAAGAGAGGGUUAUAGGUGACAAAGAAUGCAUUCUUCACUGAGCAAGUGAGUGCUAUCAUUCAGAGUAAGUCCCCAGUUAAGUAUAAAGAUCCGGGAUGUCCCACCAUAUCAGUUAACAUUGGAGGGGCACAUGUGGAAAAAGCUUUACUAGACUUGGGGGCAAGUGUGAAUUUGCUCCCAUACUCUGUGUAUAAGCAACUGGGACUAGGAGGAUUGAAGCCCACAACCAUGACCCUCUCCUUAGCUGAUAGGUCAGUCAAAAUCCCAAGGGGGGUGAUAGAGGAUGUUCUAGUUCAAGUGGACAAAUUCUACUAUCCUGUGGAUUUUGUAGUGCUUGAUACUGAUUCCACUGUCAAGGAAGAAAAUUAUGUGCCAAUCAUCCUUGGGAGGCCUUUCCUAGUUACCUCCAAUGUUAUCAUUAAUUGUAGGAAUGGGGUGAUGCAGCUCACAUUUGGAAACAUGACAUUGGAAUUAAACAUAUUCCACCUCUGUAAGAGGCAUCUUCACCCUGAAGAGGAGGAAGGAUUUGAGGAGUUGUGCUUGAUCAACACUUUGGUUGAAGAGCACUGUGACAAGAAUUUAGAGGAGAGCUUGAAUGAAAGCCUGGAAGUGCUUGAAGAUGGGUUCCCUGAAUCCUCUGAUGUGCUAGCCAUUAUGUCUCCUUGGAGGAGACGGGAAGAGAUCUUACCACUGUUCAACCAGGAAGACUCACAAGGAGUUGCUGUGGAAGACCCUCCAAAGCUUAUUUUAAAGCCACUUCCUGUGGAUUUGAAGUAUGCAUACUUGGAGGAUGAUGAGAAAUGUCCAGUGGUGGUUUCCUCAACUCUCACUAGUGAUCAAGAGGAUAGUCUUUUAGGAGUCCUCAGAAAAUGUAAGAAAGCCAUUGGAUGGCAAAUUUCUGAUCUGAAAGGGAUUAGCCCUUUGGUCUGCACCCACCAUAUCUAUAUGGAAGAGGAUGCAAAACCAGUGAGGCAACCCCAGAGGAGACUGAAUCCUCACAUGCAAGAGGUGGUGAGGGGUGAAGUUCUUAAGCUACUUCAAGCUAGGAUCAUAUAUCCCAUUUCAGACAGCUUGUGGGUGAGUCCCACCCAAGUAGUCCCAAAGAAAUCUGGAAUUACUGUAAUCCAGAAUGAGAAAGGGGAGGAAGUCUCUACACGUCCUACCUCAGGAUGGAGGGUGUGUAUAGACUAUAGGAGGUUGAAUUCAGUGACUAGGAAGGACCAUUUUCCAUUGCCUUUCAUGGACCAAGUCCUUGAGAGAGUCUCAGGACAUCCUUUCUACUGUUUUCUAGAUGGUUAUUCAGGGUACUUCCAAAUAGAAAUUGAUUUGGAAGAUCAAGAAAAGACAACCUUCACUUGUCCUUUUGGUACUUUUGCAUAUAGGAGAAUGCCCUUUGGUCUAUGUAAUGCUCCUGCAACUUUCCAAAGAUGUAUGCUAAGCAUCUUCAAUGAUAUGGUGGAACGCAUCAUGGAAGUUUUCAUGGAUGACAUCACUGUAUAUGGAAGUUCUUAUGAGGAGUGUUUAUUGCAUUUAGAAGUUGUUCUCCACAGAUGUAUUGAGAAAGACCUAGUGCUAAAUUGGGAGAAGUGCCAUUUUAUGGUGCAAAAAGGAAUUGUCUUAGGACAUAUCAUCUCCAAAAAUGGCAUUGAGGUAGAUAAGGCAAAGGUGGAGCUAAUUGUUAAGUUGCCACCUCCCACAAAUGUUAAAGGAAUUAGACAAUUCCUAGGACAUGCCGGGUUCUAUAAGAGGUUCAUUAAAGAUUUCUCAAAAAUCUCAAAACCUCUUUGUGAACUCUUGGUAAAGGAUGCCAAGUUUGUGUGGGAUGAGAAGUGUCAGAGGAGUUUUGAAGAAUUGAAACAAUUCCUCACAACUGCACCAAUAGUGAGAGCCCCAAAUUGGAAAUUACCUUUUGAGGUAAUGUGUGAUUCAAGUGAUCUUGCUAUGGGGGCUGUUUUGGGGCAAAGAGAAGAUGGAAAGCCCUAUGUGAUUUAUUAUGCAAGCAAAACUUUGAAUGAGGCUCAAAGGAACUACACAACUACUGAGAAGGAGUUGUUGGCAGUAGUUUUUGCCUUGGAUAAGUUUCGUGCUUAUUUGGUAGGGUCCUCUAUAGUGGUGUUCACUGACCAUUCUGCUUUGAAAUACUUGCUAACCAAGCAAGAUGCCAAGGCAAGAUUGAUAAGAUGGAUUCUUUUGCUCCAAGAAUUCAAUCUCCAAAUCAGGGAUAAAAAGGGGGUAGAAAAUGUGGUAGCUGACCACUUGUCCAGACUUGUGAUCGCACAUGACUCACAUGGUCUGCCUAUCAAUGAUGACUUCCCUGAGGAGUCUCUCAUGUCAAUAGAGGUAGCUCCAUGGUAUUCUCACAUUGCAAACUUUUUGGUUACUGGAGAAGUACCAAGUGAGUGGAGUGCCCAAGAUAAGAGGCAUUUCUUUGCCAAGAUCCAUGCCUAUUAUUGGGAGGAGCCUUUUCUCUUUAAAUAUUGUGCAGAUCAAAUCAUAAGGAAAUGUGUUCCUGAGCAAGAGCAAUCAGAAAUUCUUUCCCAUUGCCAUGAUAGUGCAUGUGGAGGUCAUUUUGCCUCCCAGAAAACAGCUAUGAAAGUGAUCCAAUCAGGCUUCUGGUGGCCCUCUCUUUUCAAGGAUGCCCACUCUAUGUGCAAGGGAUGUGAUCGGUGUCAAAGGCUUGGUAAGCUAACACGCCGAAAUAUGAUGCCCUUGAACCCCAUUCUAAUAGUGGAUAUCUUUGAUGUUUGGGGGAUAGACUUCAUGGGACCAUUUCCAAUGCCGUUUGGACAUUCCUACAUUUUGGUGGGAGUGGAUUAUGUCUCUAAGUGGGUAGAAGCAAUCCCAUGUAGGAGCAAUGAUCAUAAAGUGGUUCUUAAAUUCCUUAAGGACAACAUCUUUGCAAGAUUUGGAGUGCCAAAGGCCAUUAUCAGUGAUGGAGGAACCCACUUUUGCAAUAAACCUUUUGAGACUCUUCUAGCCAAGUAUGGGGUUAAGCACAAGGUAGCUACACCUUAUCACCCUCAAACAAGUGGUCAAGUUGAGUUAGUCAACCGUGAGAUCAAGAAUAUAUUGAUGAAGGUGGUGAAUGUGAAUAGAAAGGAUUGGUCUAUUAAGCUCCUGGAUUCCUUAUGGGCUUAUAGGACCGCUUACAAGACCAUUCUUGGAAUGUCUCCUUAUCGCCUUGUUUAUGGCAAAGCGUGUCAUCUUCCAGUGGAGAUUGAAUAUAAAGCAUGGUGGGCAAUCAAAAAGCUCAACAUGGAUUUGACAAGAGCCGGGUUAAAGAGAUGUUUGGAUUUGAAUGAAUUGGAGGAAAUGAGGAAUGAUGCAUACCUCAAUUCAAAAAUUGCCAAAGCAAGAUUGAAAAAAUGGCAUGAUCAAUUGGUAAAUCAGAAGAAUUUGACCAAGGGACAAAGAGUUUUGCUUUAUGAUUCUAAACUUCAUCUUUUUCCAGGAAAAUUGAAAUCCAGGUGGACGGGUCCUUUCAUAAUUCAUGAAGUGCAUCCCAACGGAGUGGUGGAAGUAUUCAAUCCCACAGGCAAUCAAACCUUCAAAGUCAAUGGCCAUCGUCUCAAGCCAUUCAUAGAGCCUUACAGUACAGACAAGGAGGAGAUCAACCUCCUUGAACCACAGCAACUCUGAGGGAAAGCAGGGUCUCACUAUAUAAGUCCAUGUAUCAUUUGAUUCGUGCCCAGUCGGGUCUUUUAAUCAAAAAUAUUUAUAAAUCCUAUGACCUUAUACUGGCGUAGCAAAGCUACUAUAGUAUAGCAGUUCUAGGGUUGAACUCAGGGAUGGGUUUUCACUCUAUCAGUGACAGACUCUAAAUUAGAAAUUGAUUUUGAUGAUUUCCUUUAGCACAAACUUGAAAUUUAAAAGAAAAUAAAAUUGUUUUGAAAGUGGUGAUUAAAACUAAACUCACAUAGAACUAAGUAAAAAUAGAAGAAAGAAAGUCUCCCGGAGCUAAAGGUUGCUAGGUUCAAAUUCAGGAUGCAAAGUGGAAAAUUCUGGAUUUUUCUCCUCGCAUUGGGGAUUUAACCUAUAGUUAUUUCCCGAACCGGUAUAGGUUUGACAAUGAAGAUUUAAUCCAUAAAAAGUCAAUAGAGAGGGUAGUCAAGGUCCAUUAAUGGUUUAAAACACUAUGGGUUAUCACCUUGAAUCACUUUCCACUGGCUCGUACAUGAUAACUAAUGGACUGAUAUGGAUCUAGCAAUAAGCAUCCACAGAGACCUGAAGCUUACCAUGUAUUGGCCAGUCAAAGUGAUUCUAAGGGAUUUAAAGCAAAACUUUGAAUUUAGAAACCAUUUAUGGAUUCCAACUACCUGAAUUUAAUGCACGGAAACGUUCCACCUUUUAAUCUGGACUUUUCACCUAGCUUCCUUUACUCCAAGAAACUAUAAGUUUAGCCUCUCAUCCUCUGGGAAAACAUCCUCAGAGGCUGUUUGGCUUCCAAGAAAAUAGAAAAUAGUAGAGAGAAAAAGAAAGCAAAAGAGAUCUCUGUAUUUCACUAAGUGUAGAAUUUACAUUAGUUGGUCUCCUGGAGAAAGUUUCCCGAGAGUGUUUUUUCAGUGUUUACAAGAGAAUUUAUAUAGGAAGGUAAUUUUACCCUUCCUUGGAUACUUCCUAGCUAAGGAAUUACAUGAGUAGCUGAAUACAAGGAGAAAAUGGAAAUUUAGACACAAAAAUAUCAGAAGAAAAAGAGUCGGCAAAAAUAUCCAAUUUUCGCACGUUGGAGUUCCAAUUUCGCACUUUGGUUUGAGGUGUGCGAAAUUCCCACACUUUGGACUGAGGAAUUCGCACCUUGAUUUCCAUCGUGCGAAAUUGUCCCUCAGCUUGAUACAGUUGUCUUCCGAAGGCCCUAUCUUCCUCAUUUCAGCUCCAAAUCGUACAUGGUUUGAAUCGUUGGAUUCUUGACUUUCUGAGCUUUGAAAUGGUAUAUAGAAUGUAAAAAAUGGACUUUGGGAAGUGCUCCAAAAGUGCAAAGGAAGACUGCAGCUGUGUCCUCUGUUUUCCUUACCCUGUUUUCCUCUUCUCCAUUGUUCUUUCCUUACAUACUUUAAACGACUAAGGCAAAGGAUUAUGAGGCUCCAAAGCUUGGUUUCUUCAUAAAUUUGAGCUUCCAAAAGCUUUGCCAUGAAUUAUAUAUAGCUCUCCCUCAUUCUUAAAUUGCUUUGGUGAGCAUAAAGCUAUCAAAAAGCACCAAAACUUAACACAAUUUGAUUAGAAACGAUUGCAAGGGUCCCUAACAUGCUAAUUGAGUUAAAAGGUAAUAAUUACUACUCAAGGGUGCUUAAAAGAGCUAAUAACAAGCUACAAAAUAGCAUGUUUUGAGUAGUAAUCACUCCCCCCAACCGACAUAUUGCUAGUCCCUUAGCAAUGAAGGAGAGAAAAACUAAGCAAACAUAAUAAUAUACAUAAAAGAGGUCAUGCAAAUCAUUCCAAAAAAUAAUUGAGUGGCAUGACUGAUAUCAAAACACAUCUCACAUGGUGAACUAAAGAUAUGAAGAUUCAAAAUACAAUAGGAGAUGUCAAAACUAAAACUUAAACAAAAAGUACAAAGAGUGGAGAUUAUGCAAUUAAGUAUCAAAAGAAUCUCUACUCUCAAGGUUCCAAAUCAAACUCUUCCAUAAUGAGCUAAGUGUUAAUGAGAUUAGCUUCUGGAUACAGUAUGUACAACUAUCCUCUCCCUCCAACCUAAGCUUUUCUCGAACAUUGGCAAAAUUAACUAACUCUUAAUAGGUUAGGAACGCACCUUGUUUCACAAUUCUUUUUACUCACUAAACUUAACCAAUUCACCUAUGUAGCAAGCAGAGGAUCGAUGACUCCCUACCAAUCAAGGUUUAGGGCAUCAGGUUUUAAAGGCUUUCGCCACCCCUUCGGAUCAUGCUUAGGUUUCAAGGAAAGAAUAGAAGCUUAUCCUUUUUUUUUUUUUUUUUUUUUUCAAAGACUCAUUGGUCUUUAUGAGGUGUCCCAACACUAUUAAAGAGAGGUUAAGUAAUGAACCAAGUCAAAAUUUUCCUAAGCUUAGAAGGUGAUAAAGUUUCACAUCAUAUAUCCGGGAUCUAAUGUGCACAAUGUGUGUAAAGCUUGAAAUGGAAGAAAUAAGUUUGAAAUCAAAGAGGGCUUCAAUAGAUUAUUAACUUUGAAAGCAUAAAACAAACUCUAAGACUUAAAUAAUUAAGUUAAAACUUGACUUAUCCUAUUUUAUUUUUGAGAAAUUAUCUUUAACAACCAUAGAGAAUGAUUCAAAAAACUUUUAGAAAUUUUAAAAAUUAAGCAAAAAUCAACUAAAUAACUUAGCAUUAGUACAAAACUUCCUUUCUCAACUCUUCCUUGUGGGUAAACUUCUGUGGAACCCAUCUUCACAAAGAGUAUGUUUGAAUCACCUAGCGAUCUUCUCCCAAAUCGCAAAGGAAAUCGUUGCUUUUUGCAACUUCCAUCUUUAAACAGGGCAGCUUCACAGUUACAAUCCUCCAAGCAGGCUUGUUCACAAUCUUCUUGGGUUGGUAUUGAUAGAGUGGAGUAGGAAGCAUCUUCCCACCAGGUGUUCUCCAAUGUUGACAUGGUGUAUUUGGUACUUCCAUCCUUGCUUUUGCAAAUUUCUUGUUGGAAAUUUCUGAUGCAGCCUGAACUCCAGUUGCUUGCUACAACAAAAUCAAAUCCAGGAAGACACCUACAGUCAGGCCUGUCAUCAAGCAGAACACAAAACCCAUUAACCCCGCAUAGACCCUUAGGAGCACACUUGUCGUUUAAAGACCUCCAUAAAAUCGACCAGCUGCCGUUCUGACCCGAAUCAUGUGAGUACAGUUUGAAGAUCCCAUCCGGAUCUAUUCUCAGAAGAUAGAGGUUUUCAUUGUCAUAACCUCCAUCUGUUAUAUUCUUUAUAUUGGAACCAUUAGUGUUGAGCAAGUAAAGAUGACCUCCACCAUCA